ACUGCUUUCUUAGUUGCGAUUGUUGGAAUUUCCUAUGUGUGAUAUAAAUCAUUGUCUAAUAAGACAACACAGCUCUCUUCAAGCUUUGCUAGAGUUUUCGAAAACCAAUUUUCAAAACAGAACAUUUCUUGUGAUAGUCCCCAGUUUCUGGCAGUAAACGAUUCUACUUUUCCCAAUCAUAAACUGUUCCUUCCUCGUCUUUUGUUAAAAAAAAAUUGGAUACAACUCUUCUCAUGGCGAAAUUAUCGAUUGAAUUUUUUUUUACUCGAUCACUGAAUGAUUAGCUCUGUACUUACGAAGGAUUAGGUAGACACUUGAAGAAGCUUCUUAGCUCUCUUCUUAUGCUUAGUAUAGCUAAAGGUGACAUUUUCAUAUUGAUGAAAAUUACGCAACAAACAAAUUCAAACAAUCUCAUAGUAUUAUGAUAAUACGAUGCCGUCCCUGUACUACACCUGAUCUAGAGGCUUCUGCAGCGAUGCGUUGAUCGCUCCUCCCACACGGCUAUUUAUUUGUGCCACGUUUCGCUCGGGAUACGCUGAUCACGCACUGAUAAUUAUUUUGGUUUACUAUUUUUCUUCGAUAGAUAUAGACUUUAAUCAAAGUAUAAUUUUUUAUCUAGUCUACAUGAACCACAGAAUAUGCGUCAAUGCCUGGGAUCCUAGUUUUCGACGAUAAGAAGAUGUUUAAACAGACAUGAUUUAAUGUAUAUUAUUUCUCGUUCUGGUACUUCACAUAUCGUAUUAGGGAAAUGAGUUUUUGAUAACUCAUUUAAAAAAUAACUUCUGAAAUUGUAAUUUUUUAAUUCCACGAAUGUUAUGGCAUUUUACUCUUCGAUGGGGAGGAAAUAAUGCUAUCAGAGAGGGUUAGAAAGGGAUCAACUGUGAAAUCUAGGCUGUGCUACCAGAUUUAGCAACAUUAUUUCUGAAGAUAUAUUCACGUCUUUAUUUUUUUCUAGUAUCAUGAGAAAAAUCCAAAAAUAAUAUUGGUUAUUAGUUUCCGUUAACUUCUACAAAGUCUACAAAUCGUAAAAGGUGAUAUUUAAUUUUUAUCUUUUUGUUGUUAUCAAUAAAUUGAAAAAUAUCAUGUUGACACUAAAAUUGUGGUUUAUAUAUUGAAAUAAAUACAUAACUAUUAUUCAUAGAAAACCUUAUGGGUCAUUUUAUAAAAGGGUGAGUCUCGAUUCUCCCCUAAUAUGAAUUAUAGCUCAGAUACUAGUUAGGACCCAUGUGCGUCGUUGACAUCUUUUUCGAUUUAUAUGCGUGUACUUAAUCUGAAAGUGACAUUGGACCUGUAUCCCUGGAAAUUAUUGCAGGGAUAUAGUUCUCGUAUGGAACUUAGGCAUUGUGAUUAAAUUAAACUAUUUAACUAGUUGUGUAGCAUUUAAAAUUUCCGCUUCUCAUUAACUUUUUAAAGAACCGAUUGUAUCAAAAUCAGGUCGACAUAUGUAUCAAAUUUUUUUUCUACGACACAAUAUAUUGUAAUUAAACGAAUAUCUCGUGAUCCGAUCGUUAUAACGAACUUCCUGUAAUAGUACCUAGACGUUAUCACGAAGGGAUUUUGCGUCUAAGACGCUGCCGUUGCUAGCAUUAAUAACUAAUAUUCAGAUUGGCAUACAGGCACAUUGUGGUGUCAAGGCACACAUCAACUGAUUUGCCAGGAUAAUGGAAAAGACGGCGACGAAGGAGAAGCAGGACAGCAAACCCUUGUACAUAUUCAGCAGGAAUAAGGCAUGGACUACGUACAAUCAAUUCCUUAUUCCAUCUCACUGGUAGUUAUUGGACAGUGCCGGAGGACUAAAUAUGCUAAAUAAGAUGUUAUCGAAAAGUAAUAAUUUUUGAGAAAACUGGUUGUUUGUUCUAAUAAUUGGCAAGUGAUUGUGCAUUUUUUUAGCAUUGUAAAACAUUGAGCCCUUAAAUAAUUUUGAACAUGGAAUAGGUAGGAAAAGGUCGUGCUCCCCGUUUCUAAGUAGACUUUUAUGAAAUUGGAGAAGCGUUUUUAGAGUCGAAAUGUUUAAUCUUUCAAAAAAGUCCCGGCAGUAAUCACUGCUGUUUAGUCCAAAGCUCUCUUUUGUAGUUUGAAUAUUCGCUCAAAUUGAGUCGCACCACACGCACCCCAGAAGGGCAUAUCGGAGAUGCGUCUCAAUAAGGGCAUGAUAAACUUUUAAGGGGUGGAUAAUUUUUUAGAUAAAGCGGUAAUAUGUAACUCCCAUUUCAAGGAGUUUUUUGUAUUCUGAUGUAUAUAGUACAAAUAGUACAAACAUAUUUUAAAUUUCUUUGGAUGAAAAUAAUAGGAUGAAUGAUAUUUGUCUAGUGAGAAAAUAAUGAAGAAACUUCAUAUAUCAAGGACUUUGUAUUCUCCAGAUAUUUUCUAGGUCAGAUAUAAUCUCGAAUAAGAAAUAUACUAGACGUUGAAAUUUGAUAAUUCAACUAAUUUCAAUUAAUAUAUCACAAAAAUUUAAAGAAGUGCUUCUAAUAAACUCCGAAAAAGCACAACCCUAUUAAAUACAAAUGAGAAUGUUCAAUUUAUCUCAAAAUAUUCAAUCUUAUAUUGCUGCGUCCAAACUUGUGACCUGGUGUUGAAUGAACUAAAUGCAUUUGUUCAUACCGUUCAAAUGGAGUCAUUGAUAUUUCAAUAAAUCUAAGGGAUUCACAAACAGAAUUUAAUAAUUUUUUAUUGAAGAACAAAACAAUAAUAACCACUUAACACACAGAUAUAUAAAAUGGAUGCUAUAUUACAAGAUAAUGCUAUUAAAUAACGAGAUUCUACAGAAAAAGUACGCAUGCGCCAAAUGUAAGCGACAGUCAACUGUUUAACUUGAAGCCUACUCUUUCGAAUGCCAUGUCUACCAUGUCUGUAAACAAAUCAGUGUAGCCGUAUCAUUUGUUGGUAUAGAAUCGAUUUUUUUGCAAUGCAAAUAUUCAAAUUCAAAAUGACUAAAACAUAUUAGAAAAGGUAAUAAUGCGUGACGAAUCAAAUCUGCAUCAGAAUGAAAAGUAUUUUAGUCUGUUGGAAUGAAAAGGCGACGCGCGUGCUCAAGAAACUAACAGAAAAUGGCUUCAUGCACUGUUUCGAAUAAUGGAAGAUUUGUAUGGAGUAAAAUAGGGGUGGAGAAUAAGUAUAUAUUGAGGUUGAUAAUAAAAAAAACAUACAUAGUAUCAAAAUAAAAUAUUAUAUAUGAGCUGUCUCAUUAAUUAAUAGCCACACCUGGUAUGUCGAGAAUGACAGCCCAAUAUCCGAUAUAUUUGGUAAAAAUUUAGUUCUGUACUAUAAGCAGUGAAAAAUUUGUUUUUUUGACAUCAGAAGGAAGCAAAAUUUCGGAACACCGGAAAUUUCAUGCCAAUAUUUAAUGGUAAAUUUAACUAUCGGUUAAGUAAUCCUCUACUUAGAGAUACAUUCAAUUUAUAUUUUAUUUACGCGCUUGUUAAGAUUGCCCAGCAGUUUAAUAUAGCCUACAUUAGUGGUAAAAUAUGUAAUAAUUGAAUAUAACUUGUAAUCUUCAUUUGAUUUAGAGGGUUUUGAAAAAAUAAUAAUGAUAAUAUACAAAGAUUUUUGAAGAUAUUUGUUUAGUGUUAAAAAAAAAUUUGCACAACCUACAAUUUGGACUAUUCAUAACUAUUAUUUCUUAAAAAUUCAUCAACACCACUAUGAGUCGGAACAUCUAAUUAAAAUCAACUGUAAAGUUUAGGGUUCGAAAUACUGCAGCAAGCUCUUGGGAUUCAUAUUUUUACUGUUCUUCAAGGUGGAACUUCAUGUUAUUCUCUACUCACAACACAGUGUAUUAUAAAUUUUUUUAUUCCGACCACGCUUGAAUGUAAACUUGCUAAUAAAUUUCUAUAACAGUAUUCUCGUAUUAAGAAUAUUCAUUUAUUUCUAAUACUGCCUAAAACCAGAAGACUUGAAGUGUAGCUGUUGCAUCUGGAUGUGCAGGUUCAAAGUAGUGUAGAACCUGAGUGUCAUCAGCAUAUGAUUGAAUGAGACACUGUCACAUAUAUCAAAGACAUAAACGGAGAACAAAAGUGGGCCAAUUAUUGAACCCUGCCUCUGCCUUCUUCCUUCGAAGGAUUUACAAGAUAUUUCGUCAAAUCUUAGAUAUUUCAGCUUUGCGCAAAGAAGAUCAUGAUCUAGAGACAACUUUCUCCUCAUCCUAUGCUCUUAUUAUGUUGUCAGGGAUAUUUAACAUUGCAGUUGCUAUGCUAUGCUUCUUACGAAACCCUAACUGAUACACGGGAAGAUUAUUUUCCUGUGAAGAAGAGCAAAUCUUUCAACUCAGUCAGAUUAUGUACUUUAGGUACUGGAAAGACUAACACCUUCUUCCUGCCGUUCAGAAAAUGGCCAGUCUCUAGAAAUCAAUUUAUAAUAUGUGUAAAUAUGUCUAUAGAUUGAGCGAAGUUAAUGUAGUGUCAAUAAAAAAUUAAACUUGUUUUAAUAAAAGUUGUAUUUAUGUAUAAAAUUGUACAAUGGUAGUACCAUUGGGUGUAGAAUAUUUUUGUUAAUAUUUGAAGGGUAUAAGCAAAUGAAUUCGAAUGGUUUUCAAACUCUGGAAUACGCAAUAUUUAAUGGGCCAAGAGAAAAGCGCGGAUUUUUCAAAUCUAACCCACAAAUCUUCAUUAUUUAACCCUGUGACUUAUUAAUAGUUAUAGCAAUUACCAAAAGGAAUGUGAAAUUGUAGACGUUUGAAUGCUAUAGAUGAAUCUGAAAAAAUCAUUAGGAUCCGUGUCGAAGUGUGUCUGAUUAAUGUGUUAUUCUAUUACUCACCUUUUUUCGAAUUAAAAAAUGGUUUAAUAAUGUGUUACGCAAUCAAUUAGCUACACAAAUAGGUUUGUAGAUUAGGAUAUUUGCUGAUCAACGCACGUGUAAAUUUAUUAGAAAACCAUGUGAAAUAUUUACUUCAAACUAAAUUUGAAGAAUCAAUAUUUUCAUUCUCAAUUCAAAACUUUUUAAACUCCAAUUAUAUUAUUAUUUUUUUCAAAUUUUUUCUUAAUCGGAUCGUAGCACCAGCUGUCGGGUCAAACUGGAAUGAUAAUAAAAUGCGAUCGUAGCGCAGUCUUCCGAAUUCAAUGUAAAACAUUCCAAGAUCAACAACAAUUUCAUUAAAAUCAAUUCAAAAGUCUAUUGCUAGAUCUUGUUUGAAAUAAACCUAAAAAAAUGUCUUCUACUUACAGUUAUCAUUAUUUAUUUAAUUACAAUACUUAUUGCAUUUAUUAUUAAAUAUGAUUGUUCAGUUGUGUUGAGUGAAUAAAUUUUUAAUGUGUAACAAAUGUCAUCAGCGUCCCAAAUACACACCACGUAUGUUGAGGAAAGUUUUAUUUCUAAUUGUUUUAUAAUAUAUAAAAAAAAUUUAAGAAAAGUUGUUAUUGCAUUAUCUAUCCAAGAAAAUAAACAUAAAAACGUCUUGAGACUAAAAAAUUCUUUUUUCAUUUUAAUUCUUUGUAUACGAAAGUUGAUUUGAAAAUUCAGUUAUUAGAGUUGAUUUUUUCCCAAGAUCCAAUGGGACGCUCCAACAUUAACCAAGAGGAACAAUUGUACGACGUAUUUACUGAUAUCAAACAUUUUUGAACUGACAUUUUCAUGAGAAUCAAUUUUAGUCGAGGAAGCAACAGUAUUGUGGAAUUAAUACAAAUAAUUUUACAUCACCCUAUCAUUUAUAUCAAUACAUUUUGACCACUACUUUCCCCCCGUAUUUUCGUCCUCCCUAUAGUCCCUUCCGUGCCCGGAGAUCCUCCUACUAGUUCACUUUGGCCUUUUCGUCUCUCGCCCCGCAUUUACCCAUCUCUCGAAAGCCCCCAAGGAUCGUAUGUGUAUAUGCAGAUAUCGCCAUGAUGUAUAUGAGUCUAUUGAUCAGGGUAUGUAAGCAUCUUGGCUCUCUCUGUCAUAGACGUAGAAGAUUUCCUACAAAUAGUCGCAUCUACUAAACUUUGAAAACCACAAAAAAGAAAUUUUCAUCACGUAAUAUUAUUCUAAUACUGAAAAUGAGGAUCCUUUUGAUAAAACGAAACGUAUAAGGUUAUAGAACGUGCUCUUUUUUCUUCACUUCCAAUUAAUUGGACUCAAGACAUGAAAAAACUCAGUCAAAGAAAUUAUAGUAAACGAAAAACAAAUAAAGUUAUCGUUUAGCAUCCUGAAGACACAAUGGGACUGAAAAGAACAAGUUCCGUAAAAUAACACGAUGAGUAUCUGGUAUGGGUAUGUCUCACAGAGGUCUCAUUAUGUGAAUUGUUGAUCAGAUUUCGUGCUACAUUGGGCGAUUCAACUAUUUCUAAUAAAAACAAAAAUUCACGAUAGAUCACUAGAGCUUAGCUUGAAGCUUUAAAUAUGCACGAAAAGAACAGUUGGAGGAUCUGAAUAAAGGUAGCAAAUUAUUUUACGGCGCCUCUUGCCAUGUGACAUCAAUCUUUAAUGCUAGUUCCCCCUUACUCUGCCAUCACGUUUCAUGUUUCUGCACAUGAAGCCACAAUGUUCUCUCAGAAAGACAGUGAUAAUGUUUAGUACAACCAGAUAUUUCCUAGAUCUCACAGCAUUGAAUUUCCGAACUUUUGGAUGUGUCUUAGAAGGAUCCAGCAGAGUCAAAUUUUUUUCACAUUCUCUCUUCUUCUGAAACUUUUUCUUUCAGUUGCCAUUUCCGAUGUCACAGAAUGACUCAACCAGCGAGAGUUUUGUACUUUUUUCAUUUCGGUGUUCAAAUUCCUAUUCAAAAAAAUUUAUUGGUUACUGGGAAGACUAUCCACUCUACCUAACCUAACCUAACCAAAUAAUCCAAAGAUUUCAAUAUAAAGUGCUAAGGAGCAUCGUUGAUGCACCUUGAUACCGAUACCGGAACAGCGAUCUUCAUGUAGACCUGGAGAUAAAUACAGUGAGACAUCCACUAAAUUCGCAAAGAGUCACAAUGUCGAAACAUGUGAACAUCGAAGACUGAAGAGGACUAAGCCUUUUGAGAUGGUUAACUAAGUGCUUAGUGUAAAAGCAGAGCAAAGUGCCGAAUUUUACAUAUUAGUGUUAGUGUUGACAAUAAUAAUUGUACAGGGUACUUCACGAUGGGAUGAAUCGAUAUGUAUAUGGGAAAGUACUACGACUAGUGUCUACUGAAAAUUUGCUUACAUGUGUUUUGUUAUACCGGAAGUGGACCCCAACUUCGUUAUUUUAAACAGAAUGCUAUGGUUUAUGGAAUCCACGCGAAAUUUCAAUAUAUUAUAGGCAUAGCAUGCCUAAAGUCCACCAUUUUUUAAUUAUUUCAAAUUUUCAAAAUUUUUGGACACAUGCAAGCCCCCCACUUUUUCCACUAUUUCUAAAUUUAAGUGAAUCAGGUCUAAUAUUUUUGGGAUUUGGGGAAAUAACACUUGCAGCUUUGAAAAUCUAUGAAAACCUUAACAAAAAUUUAUAUAGGGUGUUUAGAAAAUGGUGCCGAAUUUCGCUAUCUAAAAACUUCGAACACUUAAUUUUUUCAAAUAGCAACCUCUAUUUUUCUCUUUGCGAUUGGAUUCUACGUUUUAAAUUGAGGCAAAUUUUCUCAUAUGCAUAUCGAUUCAGCUCGUUAUGAAGGACCCUGUACAUAAUAAUUGAAGGAGUAAGACACUUAGUUCACAGACACUUGUAGUAAUUUAGGAUGGAACAAAAUUUUUCGUUGAUUGUGAUAAUAAUCAGAUCACAAUAACAGGAAGAUCUUCCAGGUUUUCUUUUAAAAAACAUCUUAUUCCAAAAUAAGUCCAUUUAGCGAGAGGACUAAUAAUCGACAUCGAAUAAUUUAUUUGUUAUAUAUAAUUAUUCAACAACAGAGACUGAAAGUUCGAUAUAAUAAUCAAUCAUCAUUACCUUGUAUGAUUUAAACGUUUGAAGUUUAAACACGGCUAUUCAAGCAUCGAUAAUGCUCAACGAUCAGAAUUUCCAUCAUGAUGGAAACUGGAUGUUUAUCGGCAUGAUGCAAAGGAAAUAAAUAUGUAUUACACCUAAAAUUGUUGACUAUUUAUACCUUCCAGUAUGAAAAUAAAGACGAUGAAAACACUGAAUCUGGCCUCAUUAGAGAAGACCCUUUAAAACUGCAAUUAUAUCAAGAACGUCAAAUCAUGGUAAAGUCAAUAAAGGUGUUUUUAUUGAUCUAAGAAUGUUGACAUCAAUUUGGCUUUAAUUACAUGUACCAGGUGUGGCUAACUUGGACAAACAUAAGAAGUGAGAGUCUGUUUACGAUAUUCAGAAAUGACGUCAAAUUCUAAUGAAUAAAUGUUUCAUAUCAAUUAAAACUAAGAACUAUCAAAAUUUUGACAAUAGAAGACAUAUAUAAAGACAAAAAAAUACAGGCAAGAAUAGACUUACAGAAGAAAUAAAUGUAGGCACGAAUAUCAAUCAGGGAGAUUCCUUAAGCCCCUUACUUUUUAAUCUCAUAGUGGAUGAAAUAAUAAAAGCAGAGGAAAAGAGGAAAGGUUACAAGAUGGGAAAUAGAGAAAUAAAAAUCCUCUGCUAUGCAGAUGAUGCUAUCCUUGUAGCAGAAAGUGAAGACGACUUACAAAAAUUGGUUCACGAGUUCAAUAUAGUAGCAAAGAAGCUGAACAUGGUAAUUUCAUCCCAAAAAAAACACUGGUCAUUAGCAAAGAACCGAUUAGAUGUAAGAUAGGAAUUGACGAUACCAGCAUUGAACAGAUUAUGGAAACUAACUACUUAAGCAUCACACACUAUCAAGCUAUGGAGAUGUAGAAUCAGAAGUAAAAAAACAAAUACAGAAAGCCAAUAGAUCAGCAGGAUGCCUCAAUAAAACAAUAUGGAGAAACAAACAUAUUAGAACGGAACUAGAAAUUUAGAAUUUACCAAGUUCUUAUAAGAUCAAUAAUGACAUACACAGCAGAAACGCGACUGGACACGUCCAAAAGACAAAGAAUGCCGGAAACAGCUGGAAUGAGAAUACUAAGGAGAAUCACGGGGAACACACUGAAAGAUCGAGUAAGUAGAGACUAAAUUAGAACAACAUGUAAUGUGGAGGAGAGUGGUUAUUGAAUAGAAAAAGAGAAUGGAACAAUCAUAUAAGUAGAAUGACAGAUGAUAGGGUAGUAAAGAUAGCAAGAGACAAAUCGCCGGCCGGGAGGAGAAGUGUCGGUCGACCCUGGAAAAGAUGGAGCGAUAAUAUAACUUAAAAGCACAACAAAAGAAAGAAACAACCAGAAUUGCCUAUAGAAAAGAUAGAAGAAGAAGAUCUUGAUCGAACCUCGGAGGUGUCCCACUACUAAUUAUAAGGUUCAUAAAAAGCUAGAAGUAGAGAUCCCAGACUGAGACUAAGAAGAAAAAGAAACACUGUUAUCUAUUCAUCUGAAUUCAUCCCUAGCGAAAAAUUGAUAAAGAACUCUUCACAUUGUCUUUCUAAAAAAGAUCAGAGCUGUUUUUGGGUGGCAACAGCGUUCAUACUCUCCAAAUCACUGCUUUAAGAUGGUGGGUGCUACUAUGCCGAGGUUUGGACGACAAAUUCUUGUGGUUCUGUGAUGGUUCUACGUCUAGAGCUUUUGGUCAUAUCUUAAGCGAAUGCUCGUUAAUAAUGAAAUUUAGAAUAUUGAUUCUGAAGUCACAUUACCGAGACAGCUGACGAAUUCAACGUUGGUUUACAUGGUCAAAAACAGUACAUAACAAGGGCAUGAAACUUUUUUUUUUAUUUUUAACUAACAUUUAUUGGUUCUGCAUUUUGUUAGCUAAUGUGAACCUGAACUAUUUUUGAUGAAAUAAGUAACAGAAUCGUAAGGCAAUUGCUAGCAGUUACUGCACAAUAUGCCGACAAUCUUCUUUACAUCUGCUUGGUUUGAAAAAACAAGACCGUGUCACAAUUGAUUUAAAAGUACACAAAACAAAAAAAUGUGAGAAUUGUAAAAGUUUUGUCGGCUAAUUACACAUAUACACAACCAGUAACACUCAUUUUCCGUUCAAUUUACUGAACAAAAAAACCCGUUUUUACAUGUGAUUUCUUGAAGCGCAGGAAGUUAGUUUUUUUUUUGUUCUAUCCGAAUUCAACUUUUGUUUCAAUCGGGUAGUUCAAGUUGCACAGUCACUGUUAUAUGCUUCAUUAAAUUCUCAUAUCGAUUCGGUAUGGGAACAAUUUUAAGAUAAAUCGAUUAAGUAAUAACUAAAGGGUUCAAAGACUGUGAACGUGUCAAAAUGAUCUAAUAGCGGACAAAAAUUUAACUUAUGUUGAUUCUUACUUAUAGGUGUGAAGAAAAGAAAAUAUGAAUGUAGAGUGUAGGAAAUAUAUUUCUUCAAUUUCUUUUUAAGACUCUUCUGUUUUUAAAUUAGUUUUCAAAAUAUUUUGAAAAAAAGUCAAAACGUCGAAUUUUAUCUUCCAAAAAUUAUUAGAAAAACUAGUUUUAAAACAGAAGAGACCUAAAAUCAAGAACAUUUAGGUGCAUUAGUAUAGAAAAUAUACAUAUACAUUCUAUUUAUACUUUUGGAUUUAUUUUUCACAUAUUUAUAACUAGACUAUUGAACAUACGGGUUGUUCGUUAUUAUGUGUAAAAAUUCUACAGGAAAAAUCGCGAACCUAGAAUAUGAAGAUGAAACCCGAAUCAUAGAUUGAGGUUAAAAGUGUACAAAUCAAAAUAUAAAAAUUUUUUGUGUUUAUUUUCUCAAAUCUUUUGAACAUUUUUCAUUAUAUAUUAGUAUGAGUCAAAAAAUAAUUUUUAUUCACAACCAUAUAUGCAAUGCUGUCAUUAGUAACGUCAUUUAAGGCUAGAAAGUGUCAUAUUACACACCUCUAUUUCUCGCCCUCAUUUCCUACCCUCACUUUCCGCCCUCUAAAAUGUUGUGUCCGUUAAAAUUUUUCUCAUCUAUUCUAGAUGAAUAUUUCAAAUAUUAUAAUACCUAUUUAAUAGCAAACAAUUGAAACUAACAAUGAACUUAAUCACGACAAACUACUUAUUGAAAUUAAUGAUUGAAUUUGAAUUAUUAUGAGCGUUUAUAGAAAUAUUUGUGUCAGUACCAGCGAUGAGGUCUCCAACAGUUAUCUCUUUGGUUGACUAAUUGCUUUGCUAUUGAAUGCUAUUGCAACAGCUUCAGAAGACAUGGCACAUUGAGGCAGCUUAAUGGUAAUUUUGUUUUCAUUCUCCAUUGAUCUAUCCAUAUAACCUUCUGCCACAGUACUAGAUUUACAUCCUCCCAGUUUUUUGUUUGGAGUACAUUUGCACCGUUUUUGGUAAGUAACGUAGCGGCGGUUCUUCUUAGAGCCUACUCUAAGAGUACUCUAAAUUCAUAAAAGUUGCAAUUUUUUGGGAAAAAUCAGCUUUUGGGCACAAUACCAUUUGGUUGUUUCUUAGUAUUCCUCCUCUAAGCUGAACAAAAAAACUAUAGAUUUCCAUGUUUUUUCUCAAAUUCAUGUAAUCUCGAAUGAUCUUCACCCAUUCUGGAUGUGUAAUAAAAAAUGAUCUACUUGUAUGUGUUUUGGAAUAAAAGAGCACGAUUGAAAAUUUUCACUAAUUCGCCCGUCCGACAAGCUUCAUACGCCUAUUUUUAAUGCGAACUAAGACAAUAAGAAAAAUAUAAUACUGUAAUUUGUAAUUGUCGAUUGCUUAACACAUCUUUGAUUAUUUAUAAACGCAAUGUCUUUUAAUCUUUAAAGGACAAGUAUAUCAUUUAAUGGAAUAUCAUUUUCAUCGGCCCAUUUUCACAGGUUAAAACUUUUAGCUAUUUUAGGGUUCUUAACAGUUAUGUUUUGAUAAUCUAAUUCCGAUCCCUCAUGCUAGCUAACUUCAGGUUCAUCUCCAUCUGCUUCUUCCAGUGAUAACAGAUCAUGUUAGAUUUGGUUCUGCCAAAACAUUAAGCAUUCCAGCAACAUUUAAAAAAUAUAGUUAAAUGAAAAAGUAACAAACAAAAAACAUUUUUAUUUACCAUCCUUAACUGCGUCCAAAGAAAGCAGAUUAAGGCGUAAUUAGAUCUGCAGCAUAAUAUUCAAUGUCUUCAUCGUUAUCGGACAUAAUUUUGUCCCAGCACUUCUGCAAAACUUCAAAAGAGACCUUUUCCCAAGCAUUGCAUGGCAUUGCAUAAGAGUUUAACAACGUAACAACGUUGUAUUCGUUAUUUGAUAAAAUGUGGGCUAAAAGGCUUUUUCGUUAAAAUAAUUUUAUUAGUCUGAUAACAUUUUGAUCCAUAGGCUGCAUGAGUGCUGUACAAUUUGGUGGGAGGAAUAAUGUUGUAAAUCUUCCAUCUUCACCAGUUAGCUGUUCUACAGUUCCAUGACUUGAGGCAUUUACUAUGAUUAACAGCGCUUUUUCAGGCACAUUAUGACUUCUUAAAUGCCUUCUAACCUAAGGUAUAAAUGAUUGAUGAAACCAAUCUAUAAAAAUCUUUGUAGUCAUCCAUGCAUUAGCAGAGGAUUUGUAUUCAACAGGAACGUCAGCGUUUUUGAAUGCUCGUGCUUUUUUUAUCUUUCCUAUCUAUCACUACCAUCUGUAAUUUAUGUGACCCAUCUGCAUUGAAACAAUCUAAAAAUGUUACCCGUUCUUUGCUUAUUUUUCGACCUGGUGCGGUCUUGAGAACGAACCAGCGUUUUUUCCGGUUUUUUCCAGUAGAAGACCGAUUCGUCUGCGUUUUUUAUUUGAGUAGCCACAAGAUUUAAUUGUCUUACCUUCUCUUUAAAUGUAGUCAAGAAAGGAUUGACGACAAUUUGAUCAUUGGAUAGUUUCUUACCGCACACUUUUAAAGCACGCGGACUAUGCUUUUUUCGAAAGCUACAAAUCCAGCCCCUGCUAGCACUAAAAUUAUCAUUUCCAUAUGCUUCGGUAUAAAACUGUCUUGCUCUAGCAGAUAAAACUUCAUAGGAAAUUGGGACAUGCCUCGAUCUUUGUCUACAAAACCACGCAUACAAACAAGUUUCCGUUUCAGGAUAUUCAGCUUUUCGUAAAGCUUUUCUGCACCCUGGGCCAGAACCACACUGACUGAUAAAUCUAAGAAAAACUACACAAUUCUACAGCUGGUUCCUAAGAAAAUGUAUACGAUUCUUUAACUUCUUUGACAAAAAAUGAGCAGUGUAUUUUAGGGCCACUAAUAUCCUAGUAUAUUUUAUAAUAAAAUAUUGGUCAGAUGUUGAUUUAUAUACAAUAAUAAUCAAUGAUUAUUAUUGUCAAUUUGACAUAAAAUUGAUUUAAAUUUGCAAAAUGUCAAAAGUCUUCACGUCAAAUUGAUGAUGUGUUUACAUUGCUCAAAAGAAUAAAAAUCAUUUUUAGAUCGUAUGCACAUUUUUAGGAACAAGCUGUACAAAGGAAAGCACUAAAAUUGUUUUAAAAUCAAUCCUACCUGUAGAUUUUAGACUUUUUCUGUUUUAUGUCAUAGAUUGUAGAUCUUUCAACCCCAUAAUCAGCGGUCAACACUUUUCCACUUUCUCCCUUGUUAAGUCUUUCAAUAAUUUCUCUUUUUUUGUUUUAUGGACAAUGUCUUGUGUUUUCUUUUAGGGGGCAUUUUUAUUUAAGUAAAUAUCAAAAUAAAACUUAUAUCACCUAAAAUUAUUACAUUACACACAUCCCAACAAAGUAUGUAAAUAUCAUUGCUCAAAAGCAUAGAAAAGCAGUACACCUGUUUAAUGUGAGUCCCAGAUAUAAACAAAAGGGUAAUUGGGGGAAUCCCUGAACAUCUAGUCAUAAUUUCUGUAGGAAAUAGGCCUAAAAGUAUAGGUUCGGAUUAUCGAGUACUAUGAAAUUCGGAUUAGAGAGUAUUCAAUUGAAAAUGCUUGUUCGAACUACCGAAGAACUCGGACUAUUAUUAUAAAUGUUCGAAUUAUCGAGUCUGCACUGUACCAUAAUAACUGUGCACGUAUAUGAGCUCAAACAUGAUUUUUUUUAAUACUUAGUUAAAGAUCAUAAAUAUAUUACCUUUAUCGGUAGAAAUUCAUUUGAAGCUUUGUUUAAAAAAUCCAACAUAUUUUUUCUGGAAAAUACGUUCGAUUUCUUGAGCCUGAAGCCCACAUUUUUUUGGUUUUAGGAAGGUAAACAGUUGCCCAUGUUUCUAAAUAUUAGUUUUCUAUUCAAUUUGUAGCAUAAUUCGAAACAUACUUUAUAUUGUCCACAAAGUGGACGCCUCCCUUUGUCUUGUUUAUUCUCGAAAAUAUGCUAAGAGUACACUUUCAAAACCGGUACUCUUCACUUUUUUCUACGCACCACUUCUUAUAUAAUUCAAUAGCUUUUGGGUAGGGAUACUCAAUUUUUUUCUGGCACCAGCCCUUCUGCUGCUGCUGGAGAGGUAAAAUCCAUCAAUUCUUCAUCGGAAGACAUUUUUCUCAAUUUCUUAUUCGCGAACUUAAUAUCCAUCCGACUUUAUCUAACCUGCGUGUUUAUUCUGCGAAAAAUGUCUCGUCAUUUUUUGUUAAAUUUUAGGUUUAUCCAGAAUGAGGCAAGGACAAUGUUGAUCGAAAUAUGAUGGUUGUGAAUAGAAUAGUAUACAUACCUCGAUAGGAAGCUUCAUUUCUAUCUCGAGAUCAUAGCUAACCUCUAGACACACUUUCGGUUGUGUAAAUCUUUACUUUACGCACUAGUUUGUGAAAAAACAUACUUUAAGCAGUUGUGCGUAAAAAACGUAUUAUUAAGGUCUCCCUUGUGUAGUGGCUAGAGUACAUGUAAGGCACUGAUGUUAUUUUUUAUUUUUAUUUAUGUUGUAAAAAUUAUAUAUACAUAACAUGCCGAAGGGAAGAAUUGACAGUUAUUUAAUAAAACAAAUCGUCUGUUGUUUCGUUAAUGUGAGUAAGAUGUUUAAAAUAUUGAUAUAAUAAUAAUUAGAGGAUACAAUUAAAACAUUGGAAUUAAACAAAGCAGAAGGACCAAACGACAUCGUCAAUGAGAUAGUGAAAUUUGGUGAAAAUUAACUACUGAAUAAAUUUCAUCAAUUGAUAGAACUAGUUUGGAAAAACAAACAAAUGCAAUAUGGACGGAAUAUUGGAGCCAUUUGGCCCAUAUUCACAAAAGGAAACCCAAAAAUGUGCGCUAAUUACAGAUCUGUCACCUACUACAAGAUUUUCACUUCCAUCGUUUAUACAAGAUUAAAAAAGUAUAAGGAAUCGAAUCUUGGAGAACGUCAAUAUAGAUUUAGUCCCGGGAGAUUAACAAUAGAUGCAUCAUUCAUAUUUUAAAUCAAAUUAUAGGAAAAUGUAACGAUCAAGAUAUGAAUAUCCACAUUUUAUUUAUAGACUUUCAACAAGCUUGAAUGUCAGAAUUGCACGUUCCAAAAACAUUAAUAAGCUGACAGGUACAAAUAUUACUGAAUAUGUCCAAAUAUUAGCAUACUCAGAUGAUCUGGCGAUGAUAACGAGAAGUGUAAAGAAUCUAAAGGAAACAACCGUAAUGAACGGGGAGAGGAUCCAAGCAGGCAACCGAGCGUAUCAUAAAUUCCGGCUUCUAAUUCUAUACAAAAAAAUCAGUAGACUACUAAAACGAAAAUAUAUAGAACAGCAAUAAGGUCAACAGUAAUAACCCAUGGAGGAGCAACGAUGAAUCUAACAAAAUUUGAUGACGAAAAACUUAACAACUUCGAAAGAAAAAUGAUAAGAAGAAUAUAUGGGCAAAAAAAGUUAAGGACAAUAUAGAAUCCUAAUGAACACUGAAAUUAGAGCGGAUACUAUCACCAGAUAUACAAUCGCAGCGAAUACAUCGGCUAGGACACAUAAAACGUAUGAAAAAUAAUAGUGAAGUUAAAAAAAAUGGAAACUUUUAGGAAAUUGGUCCAAAGGAAGACCAAAAAUCCAAUGGGAAAGUCAAGUAACAAGUGAUCUACCAAAACAAUGAUCUUUAGAAGAAGAAGAAGAAAAUGAUUUGAACGUGGAUUGACUCACGACAAUAAAUGACUCAAAGAGCUCUUGAUUGAGCGGUUAUUAUUCCUAUUGGAUUGUACAACUGAAUAUACAGAGUGAGUUUUAUGUAUGGAACGCCUGAAUUAUCUCAAAAACGGCUUGUACGAGUUUUAUAAAUUUUUGUGCGGUACGGCCGGUAUUAUGGUGGUAUCUACAUUUUUGUCUAUACCUAAAUGCCAUAAUUUCGAAGUUACAGCUAUAUUUACAGUAUCUUCAAUAAAGUUACAAUAAAUAUUGUAUAUUUAAAUGGCUUCGAUUCAAUAAUCUUCUUUAAUUUGAUUAUUCUUAAAUUUUUUUCAACUAUUAUUUUUUAGACUGGAUUUGUCCUUCGUCAAUUACCUUUUUCGAAUGAUUAAUAAUCAUUACACGUGAAUAUUAUACAUUAUACUCAAUUUACCACUAUUAAGGAAAAAGCACAAUAUACUAUUAAUCUUUUUAAUUAUUUUAUAAUUUAAUUAUAAUUACAAUUGAUAAUUCUAUUACUUAGGUUAUUAAAAGUUACAAGUGUCAUUUUUUCACUCUCCAUGUAGUACUUUCUGUGGUGAUUGAUCUGGUUAAGCAGUCACAAGAGGGUAAACCACUCGAUUAAUUCUAAUGGUGCCUGCCGUGUGAGGGUGUCUGUGGAUUCUGAUCUUGAACUUCUGUAGGUUGUAGUGUUCUGGCAAGACGUGCCUUGGUAGCUGAUUUCACAGACUUGCACUUCUCCAAAUUGACGUUCUGGGCGUCUUACAAAAACUGCUCUAGAUGGAAUUAUGCUGGACAGCGCAUUUGUCGUGGUAGUAUCGCUAAAGCAGAGUCAGGUCAGCGACCUUUUUUCUAUACUCUAAGAAGUCCAGAAUAUCUGGUCAACUCUGUCUCACCUAUAAGUCGAAUUGUACUUUUCUGUAUUGAAUCGAGAUCCUAAGGUCAUGCUUGUAAGCCCAGCUCCAAAUGUACGAGAAAUACUCCAUGGCAUGUUAAACCCUGUCAAAAGCCUUCGACAUAUAAUAUUAGCAAAUUCAAGACAUCUUAAGAUUUACUGGUUAACGACUUUCUCCAUGACCUUGGCAAUAGCUGGUACUAAAGCAAUAUGACGGGGAUCGACUUUUGUAAUUUUUUCUUGGAUGGGUUGAACCCGAGCAUGUUUCCAAUUUGCAGUUAUAUAUUGUUAUUUCUUAUGAUUCAUUCCAUUAAUUUUUUUGUCGUCAAAGCUUGUUAUUUAAGUUCUCAGCUUGUACAACAGCUUCUAAUAACAGCUUCGAUACCGUCACAAAUUCUAGUCUAUGAUUUUUUUAUAGUUGCAGAUAAAAUGUUUAUAUUAUUGUUUUCAUAUUGUAGAACAGUUGAUUUAUUUUAACGAUUGUAACAAAUUUGUUAGUUUUGUAGCUUCUUUCAUGCUUGGGUUUAACAAUUCUAAUUCAAUGUCAAUACCAUUGUCCAUUUCAUAUCUAUUCAAUAAAAUAACAUUGAACAAAUUAAUGAAAAUUUCAUUCAAAAUUCCGUCACUACAACCUAGUAAUAAAGUUUCUAAAAAAUUUUUCAUAGCAAUGCACUAAUGAAACUGCUCAUUUAUUUAGUUGAUUGUACAUUUUAUCUUGUUUAUAUAAAGACGUAUGCUAUUCUCUUCUUGAACGAAGAAACCUUGAGGGAAUAGAAAAGCAUCAAAGUAAAUAGACGCUUCGUUGUGAGGUACGUUAAUUAUAAAACUGGCCUACUUUGUGUAAUAUGUAAAGCUUAAUUCACUGACCUAAUCAGAAAAAGCAUGGAGAGUCCUGGUACUCGGUUUCUAAUGAGCUAGCUAAGCAAUAUGUAUUUUUCUUUGGUAAUUAUCUUUUGUUUUAUUUGAUCAAAUUCGCAUUAUAUACAAAAUGCAUCUGAAAUCUACAGUUCACGAAAAACAUAAAAAGUUUAUGAUUAGUUGAGAUAUAGAAAAUGAUAUUUUGAGGAUAUUCCUUUAUCUACAAAAAUUGCGAACCAACUAAUUUCACACAAAACUAACCUAGCUCCAAUUUACAAUACAGGUGUUUUUAGUGAUUUCCUAUGGUAAUUAAACACUGCUACUCAUUUUUACAUUAAACAGCCGAAAAAUCCACUAACAAAAAGUAAAAUUGUUAUAAAUCUUCAUAUCAGCUAUUUAUAAAAAAUCUGAAAGCUGCUGAAUUUCUCGGAUAAUGAAGGGAAACCUCUGCAUGAAUCGAUCUACACUAAUUGCUUCGAAGCUACAUUUCUUAUCCGUGGUAUAUAUGCAUUAAUUCUCCUAAUUGACAACUUGAGAGCAAACUACGUAUAGUUAGAUGAUGGUGAGAAAGUAUAAGUCUUUGGGUUCAAUACUCCAAUAUUCCCAUAAUGCACUUUUUGUGGACUCUAUCCUGGAUGUCAUCCUUUUAAUUUAUAUAUUGUACCCCAAUUCUUGAGUCAUAAAUCGUUUUUAUUAUAUUUCCUCUCUCCUCACGCUCCUCAAUCAUUCAAAAAAGUUCUGAUGUGUUCACAAUGUUCCAUAAUAUUUCCUAACAUUCAAGUUCUAUAAUGAUCUAAGAUAUUCACAACGUUGCAGAAUGUUUUAACGAAACUUCAAGCAUAAGAACACACCCCCUGGGUUAAAACUGGCUAGGAGAUGGUUACCAGACUAUAUCACUUCCUUGACCUUACCAGGAUUCAUUUAAGCUAGCCAAAGAAUAAAUACAAAUGGUAAAUUUAUCCUCGAUAUCAGCAGUGGUAAGAGAGUGGAAUAAAUUUAAUUUGAGUUGAGAAAAAUCAAUUAGAGAGUAUCUCGUAACUGUCAACGACUGUACUUGUAUUCAUAAAUCAAAUUCAGCAUUUCAAUUUUUGAGUUAUAAAUUGAAUCAUUAUUUGUCGAAACUUGUUCGUGUCAAAAACUAAACUUGACGUGUAUGGCGUUUUGCGGAUGCUCUAGUUAAUUAAUAAAGUGUGCAAACUAUAAUUGUAUUAUAAAAACUUGAAGUUGAUAAAUAAAUAUAAUCAUAGAAGAGAAUUACGAAGCAUUUAAAAAAAUUUACUACUUAUGUUGUGAACUCUGCUAUGAAAUAAAAACCAGGUAAGCCAGUGUUCAUCGUAACAGGAAGAGAUUGCUCAUAGAUCACAACAGGUAUAUUUGUCUUCUUUCAUCUCAUUCAAAAAUGAGUUAGAAAAGUUUAUUUCUAGCACAGAUCCUGAUAAUGAUUCUUUAAGACAAAAUAUUUCUGUUCAAUUACCGAAAAAGUUAUCUAGAGUGUCUUAAAAAUGAGAAAAAAAUCUUCUUAUUCUCCUUCAUCGUACGUUAGGAGUUAGUCCUGUGUAUGCAUCAAUGGUUGCCUAGCUGCUGCUGGGAUAAUGAAGACCAGCUUUCAUACCAUCUUGUAGGUGGUCGUCCUGGUGGUCCUGGAUGUAUUCGGUUUUCUUCCUUUGCAAUCUGACAUUCUGUGAUCGCGUUCGCGUUUCAGUGGUUCUUAAAAGUCGCUUAGUUAUGUUGACCUUUCAGUUCAUUCUUUAGAUUUCUAUUACUUGUUAUGUUCGUUCCUAGAUAUAUAAAUGACUUCACUUGUUCUACACCAUGAUCGUUUAUUGCGAGUUUACAUCUUCUCGGUUCUCUGGAUUCUGUAAAAGAUUUGGUUUUCUUCAGGGAUAUUUGCACGUUAAAAGCUUUCGCUAUUUGUUCAAACCUAUACAGUAGCCUUUGUAAGUUAUCUUCGUCUUCUGAGAUGAUCACUGCGUCAUCAGCAUAACAUACUAUUUUCAAUUCUUUGUUUCUCAUCCGUUAUCCUCUUCCAGCUUGCUUUACCUCGUUUAUAAUCUCCAUUAUGAUGCUUAACAAGCUCGGACUGACUGAGGCUGUCUCCAUAUCUGAUACCGGACGUCACAGGUAUUCUACUACUCAGUUUAUUUUUCAAUCUGAUAUAUGUGUAAUUAUCGCUGUUCAAGUCUUCGAUUACUUUUAUUAUGUUGGGGUGAAUCUUCUGAAAUAAAAUCUAAUUACAUAAAACUUUCAGUUGGAAAAUUCAAUAGAUCAAUAAUAAUAAUUUUUGUUAACGUAUCAUCGCUGAAAAACAGCAAAUAAUUUUUUAAACGCCCCAUUGGCUUUUCUCAUACUGUAUACGUGUAUGCGCGAAGGAAGCACAUUGUUAAAAUGUGAAUAAACAUAUAAAAAAACAAAAUUUAGGUUAUUUUGCUUGAUAUAGUUGAAAUUAUCUAUGAAAAGUUCAAAAUUAUAACAUUUCGAUUUUUCAGGUAUAUUAUUUGAUUCAAAAAAAUUGUCGGCAAUUUUCAAUCUUAAAAAAAUCAUAACAAUUAAUAGGUUGGAGAAACGGUAGUGGCUGCGAGGAUUUUUUUCAUUCGAAAUAUUAUAAAGAAUAAAAAAAAUUAAAUGUUCGCAAAAAAUACAUUUUUUCUGGUUUAUUUAGUUUUUCGUUGAUUAAACAAUAACAUCAAAAUAUAUCAAGUUUCAUCAUACACUUUUAUGAUCAGGAACACCUCCCGGACUUCUUUAAAAAAAACUACGAAUUAAAAUAAUUUUUCAAAUAAAUGCGCCACUGAACUCCGGUCUAUAUGCAUAAUCUACGGAUUACUAGAGAAUAUAGACAAGUAAUGACAGUUCUUAGUGGAUUGAGUAAUAUUAACAACUCGAUGGAAUGUCAUUUCAAGAUUCAAUGUUACGAACUCUUCCACGACAUAGACCAUGAAUCCGGUCCUGUCUGCUUAUAAUGGAAGUCUAAAAUAUGGGGCAUACGUAGAUUCGUUUGAUUUUGUUUUUUAUACAUAUUUCUAUAAUAUCGGCGUCUUUGAUAUGUUUUUUCAUAAGCAGCAGAGAUUUGUUUGUUUCUCGUGCAAGAUAUUUAUCUGAUACAUCUGAUACAUAAAAAACCAAAGGCCGCAUACAAUAAUUUUAAGGAUUGCAAUUGAGCUUUCUCUGGAAAUGAGUGGAAAUAUGAAACUGCAAGGGUCCAGAAAACGCCUGUCCUAAUGCCUUCGACAAAAAGCCUUAAUUUUGGUUUUUCCAGAUUGCUAAACAUUUUUAAAUCUUUGCACCGCUCAGCUCAGGUGGGAAUAUACAAUUCGUUUCCAGCAGCAUCUGGUGAAUGUCCAAUUUAUCAUAUUUUUUAUAUGAAUUCCUGCUUUUGCAUUACAGCAACUGAUCCAGCAUGUUUCACUUUCGAAUUCCGAGAGAUUUCAUAAAAGUAAUAAACUAGUGGAAUGUGAAUUAUUAUUUUUAUUAAAGGUAUGGAAACAAGUCCACGGAACAUAAAGUUUUCGGUUUACAAAUAAACAUUUUCACCCAUUCACAAUGUUUUUCUGGGAACGGGAAGAAUGAGCCCGUAUAGCACAAGAUGUUAUGUGUCGGAAUUGUAGAUUCAACGAGAAAAUAUGUUUGAUGUUCCAUUAUAAUUCCGUGAUGGAAAAAUUUCUCUUAUUUAAGUAAAUCAAUAAAAUUGAUGAGUAAAUAAGGAAAACACGCUAAUAUAACCUACCCAUUGUACAAUUUCGGCGAAGUUAACUUCAUAUCAGUUUGAACUUUAUCUUUUCCUUGUUAAAAUUCACCCUGAAUCAACUUUUAGGGUUUCCAUAAUAGAAGAUCUUAAAAUAGUUAAUUACCAAGCAAAGACUCUCUCAUCUCUUCGAUAUUAAAAUCGUAAAAUAUGCAUUAAUUCCGAAGAGCAAAGUUUUACGAAGAGGAGUCCGUGUGAUAAAAUCAGAGAAAAUAAUAAAAUUGUGAGUCGGAUCUCGUGAUAUUAACGUGAAGAUCAAGAGAGGGAAAGUAUGAAAUAUUUUUACGCGUAAUGAUUAAGGUUCGAUGGGUAAACUUUUGUUUCCUGUAUUGCGUUGAAGUAGGUUGACACUAAGAAGAUGAAAAUUUGAUAAUACUGCUUUUUAAAUUGGAGCUAUUAUGAUGGAUCUAGCAGUUUACUCACACUUUUUUAUAAUACGUUUUAAUUUAUGUUCUAAUCAUUGUUUAAUCACAUAUCAAACAUAAUUUGUACGAAAAAAUGUUCAGUCUAUCAGCUUCACUAUAUUAACUUUUUCAAUGUAGGCGAUGCAUUUUAUAUCACAUAUCUGUGAGGACUAUUCAUAAUUUUAGAAUGAAAAUGAUGAGUUCUAAUAAUUUCUGAGAAAAUUUUAUUUGAAAUUCAUAGUUUCACUCAAGUAUAUACCAUUCUUCUAUUUCUACCCCAUAUAGGAGCCCCCAGAGCUGAACGACGGGGCUCAGCUUGAGCCAACGAUGAGAAACCUGGACUUGGCUAAUCAAUAAUGGUCCAAGCCUGGUUGGUGUCUGGAUAACUUAGUUCCGGCCAUUCUAUAGUCAGUCAAGCCUCGCUGAACUCUAUAUAACCUUACCUCGGCUAUAACAUAUUCAUCCAAGUCUCGGUGAACUCAAGGUAACCCCACCUCGACCAUCCUAUAGUCACCCAAAACGGACUGAACUCUGAAUAACUAUAUAAAUUUGUUCUAAUAUCUUAUCUAUUAUAGAUAUCUUAACAUUAAAAGUAAUAAUUUUUUAUGAACAAAAUUUUCUCAUGCCUAGAAGACACAAAAAAAUUGGAUAAUAAAAAAUAGUAUCAUUUCUUUAUAUAUUUAAUUAUUUAUUGACAUUUUUAUGUGAAUUGAUAAGUAGAGUGCAAUAAUUGAAAUUUGUCAUGAAACUAUGAUUUUAUUAACAUUAUAUUGAAAAUAUUUUUAUAAGCAACCAGGGUUGCAGAACAGUCUUGGGUUCAUCUAUGCAACCAAGCCUGUUCCAGGCUUGCAAACCAAGCGAGGGACAUUGUUAUCAUCCCAGGAUUCCACCAAGUCUGGGCCAAUAAUAGCUUCCAAGCUAGGGUCAGAGUUGUACAUGCUUGACCCAAGUCUGGGCCUAUGCUCGGCCCAUCAUAAAAUCCUAUAUGGGACAUCAGUUCUGCGGGACGUGUGUCAUUUUUUUUUUCAUAUCUUCUAAUUUUCUAUAUACAUAUAUGUUUCUAGAUGUUCUAGAUGUCAGGUUUAUGACCUAAAGAUAAAACUUCUUUCACUUUCACUACAUCUGGUAUGGAUCGAGUUUUAUCUUUAGGUCCCAAUUUUGCACAAAUAUUUCUUGUGACAAAGAAAUCAGAAUCAUACAAUAAUAAAAUGAUGAAAUCAUUAAACGAUGAUACAACUUACAAAAAAAUUAAACAAGACCCUACGAAUUCGUAUCAAAAACAAAAUAAUAAUCUAAUUCGAUCUGGGAAGAACAACUUCCUAUUUUACCAUCAUAUGCAAGAAAAUUGAUAAUUCACAAUGCCUUAGCUCCUAAAAUAUAUUGUUUACCAAAGUUGGCUGAUUGUUUCAAGUAUUCAAACUCCUCUUAUCUUAUCAUAUCUAAUUAUUUGAAAAAUAUUUUGAAAAAAACUUUAUACCAAAAAAAAUUACUAUUUCAAAAACAUUUAGGAUUUCUAAGAAAAGAUUAAAAUCAAAAUUCCUAACGAAUAUGCAUUUAUUUCAUUAGAUGUGGUUUCUUUAAAUAUAAAUAUUCCUAUUAACAUUGUGAAAAAUAUAUUAAUAAAAAAUGAGACAAAAUUAAAGAAUAUACAGAAAUACCUCAAAACGAAUUAAUAAAAGCUAUAGAACUCACACUUAUAUCUAUAUAUAUUAGGUCUUUUUGAAUUUAAAAUUAGUUUCUUUUAUAAUUUUUUGGAGAUAGAUGAAAAGGGGCCAAAGAAGUUUUGACGAGCAUUCAAGAUUUCUAUACUAUAAAUCGAACCUACAAAUUAAACUCUGUGUUAAGACUUGGUGGAUUUAACGUAUUCAAAUGAUUAAGGACAGAGUGGACACGUACUACGAGGGCUGCUACUUAAGCUUUGAGAUUUAAUUGAUAUUUUGAAAAAGGCUAAAAGAAGUAAAAACGUUAAAUUUUCAUCUGUCUUAAGCAAAUUAUCUAAUUCAAAGUUUUCAAGGUUUUUAUCGACACAUGUGUAUUGUUCUUUAGAUGUACCAGUGAAGAAAGUCCAUCAAUUUGUAAAUCCACCGUUUCUCCGCAUUUUGUUUUCGUUUCCUCUCGAAUUUAUAGGUUCCUGUCAAUCAUCCUCUUGUAACUUUCUUUUAUGUCAUGUAAACCAUUGAGUUGAGUUUUUACACCCUAAAUUCUAAAAUUUUAUUCUAGAUAAAAAUUGACGAAACGUCAAUUUUUAUCUAUUUCUUAAAAAUUAUUAAGAAAACUAAUUUUAAAACAGAAGAGACCUAAAAUCUAAAACAUGGUGGUUGCACUACUUAAUCUUUCGAGUAACUAUAAUUAUAAUUGUAAGAGAACAAACUCCUACCAUCGAACCUUAAGAGAAAAUCGAUGGGAAAGGGUUAAGAAUUUUUAUGCGUAACGUUUAAUUUCCCUCUUGAAAACGUGAAUACCUACUGUGAUUCCUUAGAAAGAAUUCGUUCAAGUAAUAAUAUAAAACGGAGAGAUAAAGUUACUGCUCACUAUAAGGGUGAUUUUAAAAUACGAAACGAAAGAGAAACACUCUCGAAAAUUUGUGCGUUAAAAAUCAUGUUGGAACCCUACGUGCAAUGAAUAUAUAAAUUCCAAUUUCUUAGAAAUUCAAUCUUUUGGUGGUAAUUAUGAGAAUUUUGAUACAAGAUGUAAUUGAAUUUAUUCCAAGCAGAAUACUAGAUAUGAGGUUUGAGAAAAAUAAGAGUAAUUGUAUAUUUGUAACAGCAAUUAUCAAAUGUGUUGUUUAUAUAACAUUAAGGUGUGGAAGUGCAAUAACUUACUUAAAAUGAAAUUUAAAAAGAAAAUAUUUAAAUAAAAGUUGUUAUAUUUGCACAGAUACACAUUUCUAAAAUAUUUUGGGGUAUACAGGGUGUUUAGCCUAAGCGUGACAACAUGAAGUUAAGUUUUUUUAAAUACAGCGUAAUUUAGCGUGAAAUUCUGCAUCUAGCCCUGUCACUUUUUUUCUCAUAAAUUGUAACGUUACCAAGUUGGAGCGAAAAAUAUGAAGAUUUGACAAAAAUUGGUUAGGUUGGCUUAGUAAACGUUAUAAUUGAGAAGUAACUAAACUUGUUUGGUAAGUAAGAAGGUAAAGGAUUGGUGAAAUGUUUGAACAGAAUAGAAGUUUCAUUUGAGGUUCGGGGUGUUUUUUAGAUAAGCAUCAAUUCAGGAGAUUUCAAUUAUCAAAAACUUCAUUUUUUAAAUGGAACACCCAGUAUAUUAUUUCACCAUUUCAUAAAACUAUUUUAUCCCUUCAAAUUAUGUCUGAUAAUGUACACUCUAAAAUUGACUGUUUUCAAAAAAUGCAUUUUUAGUUUAUGAUUUGAAAAUAAUCACCUUUUUGACUAGUAAACACUGAAUGUAACGUUUAAAAUACUUCUAGUUUUUGUGACAAAAUCAAACCAGUAAUUUUGUACCUUCAAAAACUGUAAAUUUUUGUUUUUAUAUUUGAUCUAGUAAGCUAUUGCACUUCCACACACUAAUAGGCCACCCAGUAUUGUAAGAUAAUUAACUUUCAAAGGAAAUUAUUGUUUUUUUCAUUAUAGUUUUAUAAUCCAUAGAGAUACAAAAUUAGUACAGUGGCAAACUGCAAAAAAGUGGCAAUCAAUGAUAGAAGCAUGAAAAUUGGUAUGUUGGGCAAUGAUGCCAAAAAAAUUCCAUGAAUGUAUAUAAUAUGUAUGUAGGUAAUAUUUUUCGACCAUUCUCCUACCAUUCCUUCUUCAAGAAAAAUAUUACCUACAUACAUCUUAUUUAUAUUCAGGGAAUUUAUUUCAUUCCAAUGCAAUGUCUCGAGCUUUUAAACUUUUGGAUGGACGCAUGGGUCAAUUUUCUGAAAGGGAGGGGAAUAGAUUUGAAUAAACGUUUGUUUUCCCCGCGCCCCAGCAAAGUGGUCAAAAGGAUUUCGCUUCUACACCUCCACAAUGAAUUAUUGUUUCAAGAACAGGUUAUUACGAUGAAAAUUUUGAAAUCGAUUCCAAUACUGAAGAAUCGUCGAAUAUGCUCUGAAGAAAAAAAAACAAAAAUUGUGACUUUUUAAAUGCUAAACUAAAAUCCUCGGAACUAGUCAACUUGCGGUACCUCCUGUUUCCCCCCACCUCGACAUAUCGACCUCAUAUAAACUUAAAAAUGUCAUAUUUGACCUCUACCACUAGAAUAUCGUAUUGAAAAUUCGAUCCUGAAAAAUGUAUGCGGUCUAUUGAAGAAAAACCGCAAUUUUGACGUAUUUUUCACAAAAAUUGGAAAAUGGGGAAAUUUUCAAUUUGAAAUUUGGUGCAUUUUUCGAGGUCGCAUCUUGUAAGUAAUGACAUAUUCAUGUUCAGGGGGGUCAAAAUAUGUAAAAUCGACCCGUCAAAAUUAUUCACCCCACUUUUUCACGGGGGGCUCCCGAUCUCAAAAAUUUUCUUUUGGCAUCACUGCCCAACUUACCAAUACUCAUGCUUCUAUCAUCAAUUGUCACUUUUUUUUCAAAAUUCACUGUUUACCACUGCACUAAAUAAACUAUUUGCAAACACAGUAGUCAACUGUCAUUAGUAGACUAUUCCAGACUAAAAUUAGGCAAACGAAUGAACUGAGUAUGGUAACAAUGUGGUAACUUUCCAACUAGUGGUUGAAAACUGGAGAGAAAUCAGUUGAGGACGAGAAAUGGUCGAAACGUCGAGUUCAGAACCUGAUCAGGAGAUUGCGAUAAAAUUUCACAUUUUUCACAGUCACAGUCACGAAACCCUGAUGAAAACUGAAAUUCACACAGCUCAACAAAUGUUUUUUCCUUUUGUUUCAUUUGCAAAGAAUUUAUUUUCUUUCAUGGUUUUUCCUUUGGAAUUUCGUUUUUCGGAAAAAUAACGGAUGGUGUUAAAAAAGAGCUCAGUUCAUUCUGGUACCCUGUUUAAACCAAACUCCCUUACAGGCAGGUACAUUUUACUCGUCUAUUUAGUUAACGAGGUAUAAAAAUUAUUUUCUCCUAGCUUCCAAGUAGGACUACAAUUAAGUGCAUCUUUCUAAAUAACGGCAUCCAAUUUAUAAUGAUUCGAUAGUGUUUUAACGAAUACUUUCUCGCAUAAGAUAAACAUAGUUUCAAAAGUAUUUAUAAAAAUAAUAAAUUUAUAAAGGAGGUACCUACGCCUAAGGUCGAUCAAACAAAAUUGUCGGAAAGGCUUUUUUUAGUCUGCAAAUGAUAUUGAAACAUUAGAAGUUUAAACAUACAGGCAUAGGCAAGGCAUUCAUUUAAUUACAUUCAACAUCGAUUUUACAUUGGUUCGGUUCAGAUGUGUGCUUCUUUUAUCUUCAAAAAUAAGACUAAAAUAGAAUCACCUCCCAACGGGUUGGUAAUUCGUUAACAAUUGCCGGCAAUAAAUUAUUGCACUUAGAUUGAAUAAAUUGGUCGGUCGGUACGGUUAACUCGAAAUUAAAAGUAACGUGUUUUGUGCCACACAAAUACGUGCAAGAGGUCAAUUUACUACAACUUCCUUCCAUUCUGUGUUCUCCAUUACUUCCGCUUCACUUGUUCUCGUUAUAUUUUUUCAACGGCGAUUAAGUGAUAUAUUCCUGUGAAUACACUUGGUUACAAAUACAAUGGAUCGCGUAAUCUUGAACUAUUUUUUCAUCUUAUGUUCUCUGCAUUUCCAGUUUCUUAUCCCUCAAAUAGGCACGCAUCAAAAAUACAAUUAGGCGUAUUUUAUGUGACUAUUCUUCUUUAAACUCUAAAUAAGUGCUCAAUCGAUAAUAGAAUUUAUCAAAAUCAUCAGUUGUAUAACAUUUUUCCGACGAUUGCUGUUUGCUUUCAGGAUCGUGGAAUUAAUUAUAACUACAACUUUUCUCCCACAACGAUUACAACGACAAAUGUUAUGGGGCUAUGUGGAAUAUGUGAUUGGUCCAUUUUUCUGAAAUUGCAGAGUAUUAUUUUUUGCCCGAAAACAAGCUGUUUUUACUUAUGGUGUUUCUCCGGUCUUCGAAAAAUGUUUCGUAAUAGAAUUCAAACGAUGCUUUCCAAUGAUACUGAACUGUGUAAUCAUUCGAUAAAGCAUGCAAGUAUGAGAAUUAUGACGUAUAGAACUCGUUUUCCAAAAAAAAUGGAGUCUGCCGCUUUUGAUAUUAGUACCCUCAAAUGUAUGUGGAGCACUCAGGUAGUAAAAUUCUUACGUUUCAAGAAAUAAAUUACUUAAAAGCAUAUAUUGUUGUUAACAUGAAAAAUACACCAACAUUUUACACACAGAAACAGUUAAAGUUAAUAUGGUUGAUUCUUGUACGCGGCUGGACUUAAUCAUUUUGAUAGAAUUGCUAAUUAUUUUCCUCUUCACUGUGAAUUUGAACUAUUACGAUAUACCAAUGAAAAAAUCCCCCCAUACGUGUGUUGUACGCGUGAAUAAAAUCACGAGCGCUUUGUGUUUUUGCCUCGCCUGCCUUUUGUCAAACAAACGCCUGAAACACAUUAACAAUGUUUGUUGUAGGUGGCUUUGCCACGGGCUAUCUCGAUACUCAACAACGUAUAACUUAUUUUCAAUUGUUCAUCAAAGUUACUAUGAUUAAAAUAUUUUUUCUACUUCGGGGAUAUACUAUGAAAAGAGAAUGGAUCGGGCAUGUCUUAGGAACGUCCCUUCUUUGAAGUAUUUACUAUUUUAGAAAACUGUUAAUAUUUGUUUUUAAAUGUUGAAGGUCAGUGACUGGUAUUUGUAGAAAAAGAUAGUUAUCAUUUUCCACAAUAUACAAAUAUCAAAUAUGAAUGUUUAUUUAGAAAAUUACAGAAAUAAUUAUAAUUAAUAUUAAUAUAAUUAAUAUUAAUAUUGAUUAUUUGCAAAAUAUCAGUGAGUAAUGUCAAUGACAAGUAACAUUAGGAAUCAGUCUACUUACUUAGUUUUAACUAUAGUUUCUAAUAAUAUUAAUUAUAAUUAUUGUGAUAAUAGUGAGAUGUUAACUCUGGAAAAAGUCAAAAAUAUCAACUUGCGACCUCAUGAAAUUUUAAUCUUCUAUUUUGCUGUAGACUUCGUCCUUGACGUCUCGAUUUAGACUAUAUCUUGGUAAUUAUACUUCACAGUGUAUACUGUUAUUUUAAAAGUGGUUGAAAUUAGCCAUGAAUUUCUAGAUUUUGGAGUUUUUUAAUAUAAUUUCGUGCUUCGGAUGCAGCUUGAUUGGAACUACUUGCGAUACUGUAAUUUCUUACUUAACAGUUUUCUCAGUGUACCGUAUCCCGUUUAUAAUUAUAUUUGAACUUUGCAGGUGGUUAGAUCAUUAUUAAGAAUUGGGUAAAUCCUAAAAUGAGUCUUAGGAGUGUGGAUUAAAUGUUAAGUACAAGUAUUUAAACUAUUAAGAGUAUCAAGUUGCUGGUUACGCAAACUAGUGAUUUGGAAAAUUCAAUUGUUAUUGUUGAUGAUGAUGUUAAUCAUUCAUUAAAAGUAUAUUCUGAGAAUAUAUUCCAAAUAACCAUUUUCAAAUUUUCAUUUCAUAUAUAGCAAAGAGCUCGGUAUUGGGAAGGUCUAGCUCGGAUUAGGUUAUAGUUUGAAUUAGCUCUAAUAAGACAUUUUCCUCUUCUUACGUUAGGACUAGGUGCUGUAUUUUCAUCAAGGGUUUGGCAGGAGUAGUUGGGAUGCUGAGAACCAUCUUUCAUACCACCUUAUAGGUGAUCGUCCACUGUUGUGUCUGGUUUCUUUUCCUUUGCAAUUUUUGCUAACCGUUCAUUUGACAUUCUGUCAACAUGGUCUCUCCAUUAUCUUUUGCGGCUCCUUGCCCAUCUUACUACAUCCUGAAUAUCGCACAUGUCCCUUAUUUCUUCAUUUUUCUUCCGAUCGAGUAACGUACGUCAUGUUAUUUAUCUCAGAGUCCGCAUUUCUGUUGUUCUUAGGAGCCGUUUAGUGGUUGUGUUCUCCGCUUUAGUUUCUAUUGCAUAUGUCAUGACCGGCCUUACGUAAGUUUUAUAUAUUCUAAUUUUACAUUUUGUGCUCAUGUAUUUAUUUGGCCAAAUUAAAUUUCUAAGGUAUCCUGAUAUUAAUUAUUAAUUAAUAUCGUUGUUUGUGCUUUUACUUCUUUCUUUAGAUUUCUAUCGCUUGUUAUGUUUGUCUCUAGAUAUUUGAAGGACAUCCUUGUUCUACACUCUGAUCGUAGAUCGCUAGUUUACAUCUUCUCUGUUCUUUAGAUAUUAUCAGAGAUUUUGUUUUUUUAUGGAUAUUUGCAUGUUGUACGUGUUCGCUAUUUGUUGGAAUUUAUAUAGGAGCUUCUGUAGGUUAUCUUCGUCUUCCGAGAUAAUUACUGCAUCAUCAGCAUAGCAUAUUAUUUUUAUCUCUUUGCCUCCCAUUCGGUAUCCUCUUCCGGCUUGCUUUACUUCGUUGAUGAUUUCGUCCAUUAUAAUAUUGAACAGGAUUGGGCUAGGCUCUCCCCUUGUCUGCUACCAGUUGCCACAGGUAUUUUAUUGCCUAAUUUGUUUGCCGUUCUCACAAAGGUAUAAUUAUCGGUGUUAAGUUUUUCGAUAACUCUUAUUAUAUUGGGGUGAACGUUCCUUUUUUUUUUAGUAGAGUUAUAACAUCAGUUAAGCGUAUCCUAUCAAACGCUUGGGUGAGAUCAAUGAAGUACAUAAAGGCUGCCUUAUUAAACUUUAUGACUUUUUCAGUUAUUUGGUGCAUUAUAAAUACAGCAUCUAUAGCAGAUCUGUUGUUUCUGAAACCUAAUAAGACAUCAAUAGCAGUAAUAUGUGAUUCUGAUAAUUCUUGGGGUUUCUAGAUAUUUAUUAUAUUAUAUAUUAAUUCCAAACCUGUGCCAACUUGUUCUAAAUUUCAGGGGCUGGAAUUUUUUUCACAUAUUUUCAAAUUUCCUAUUAAGUUGCCCAUAAAACCGGUGUGUGCUAAUGAACCGAUAGAGUACGCUAGAGUUAAUUCUCCCCAUCCGCGCCAGCGAUUUUCCUUUCCCUGGUCUUAAUAUUGAUUGAAGAGUUUGAGGAGUAUGUGCGUGAGGUGUAUCGAUCAUAUAGGUAAAAAAAAAAGAUAUAUGGAAAAUUAUGAUUGCUUACAGGCUAACAAUGAUGCUAAAGUGCAUUCCGGAUAACUACUAUCAUCAAUCUUCUCUUCGUUUUAAACUUUCUGGAUGAACUUCAGUCGAUUUUCCAAAGGUUGUUUUAUUUUAUUAUAUUCUAAUAUUUUAAAUUAACACCAAAGUUUUUCAAAGGCCUCUUUUUUUGUUCGUAACUUAUGAAUACUUUUUCUAAGAAAUUAAAUUUGAUUUUCACUUACUUAUUGUUUCUUCUCAACAUUUUUGCAUAAACUUUGUUUCUCAAAAAUUCUCUGUAAUGGACAAACGUUAAAUAACUAAGGGCCACUAGCCUCCUGACUGCGCCAAUCAAAAGUUACUGACACAAAAAUCACUUUUUAAAAAGAUACUUCAUUUGAACAGCAAAACGACACUAUAUACAAAAAUAAAUGCAACUAUAAACUAAAUAAUAUGAAAUUCAGCAAGAUCUUCAGUUUAAUAAAAUAUUUGUUGAAUUGUGGAUCAGCAACUUAUAUUUUCAACUUAUAUUUUAUGAACGCUUGAAGAAGACGGCACUCCUCUAAAUGCAAAUUUGUGAAAACUCUUGUCAAUAAAAUCUGGGGCGAUUGCUGUCAUUUUCUUGUGGAUAUUUUCCUUAAGCUGACUGAUGUCCCUCGGAUUGUUCAUGUAGACUUUAUUUUUGAGGUAUCAAGUCAGGACUACGUGGGAGCCAAGCGAUAUCACCUCUUUUGAAAAUUAGUCUCACAGUCGCCAUAGAGUCAUUUGAUGUAUGACAGGUCGCUCCGUCUUUUUGGCACCAAGAUUUCGUAUUCACUAUUCUUGAUAUCGCAAGUUCUGGAGUCAAAUAUCUCUCUAACAUCGCAACAUAGCGGUCGGUGUUAAAGGUGAAGUUUCGUCCUCGUGAAUCUUCAAAGAAGAAAGGGCCAAUAAUUCCUUUGCUUGAGAUUGCUGACCAUACCGUUACUUUCGGACUAUGUAGUGAUUUUGAUGUUUCAUUUUUAGAUUAUUUCAGUCCAAUAACGACAAUUUUGUCGGUUUACGAACACAUUUAAAUGAAAAUGAGCCUUAUCUGAAAACAGGAAGUUGUCAAAAGUGGAAAAUCGACUAAGCAUUUCUUCGGCCAAUGCCAACCUUGCUCCAAAGUCGAUAUCUUUUAAUUCCUGUGUUAUCUGGAACUUAUGAGUAUGCAGUUCAAGAUCCAGCUUCAAAAUUCGCUGAAAACUUCGCUUCCGAUUGGACACAUGCGGAUUUUCUCAUACUGACUCCUUCAUCCUAUCAAUAUUGUCUGUGGUCUUUUUGCUGGUGGUUUAAACAUGAAACUGGUUUCUUCAAAACCUUUAACCCAUAUUUUAAUUGAAUUUGCACUUGAAACUUCAUUAAUUAAUCAUUUUGAAGAAUCUUUUCUAAAUGCGAAUCGAAAAUAUCGGUGCCAGUUAGAUUAAUGUCUAAAAUAUGAUUCACCUCAUUUGAUUUGUUUAUUUCUUCUGCAUGAUAGCUGUUCUGAAUACACUGUUCACACCAACACUAACAAUUACACUGUUUGAUGUGCGUUUCGAUAACCAAUUUAUCGUCUUCAGAGACUGAAGGUAAACAUUUGACCUUUGUUAUUUAUCAAAGAAUUGAAAUACAUUUCGUUUUAUAUAACAAUUAUUGUCAUAGAUAAUUAUUAUCAUGAAUGAUAAAAUCGAAUCAAGUAUACCUUAUAAUCGGAAUUGAAACAUAACUAAUUAGAAAAGUACUUUACAUUUAUAGCUUCACAACGGUUAGAAAUAGAUAUAGGGAACGCAAAAAAUAAAAUACUUCAAGAACAGCAAAACGUAUGUACAUAAAACUCUGCUCAAACUUGAACUAAUUUCACUACUAAAAUUGAAAGAUGUGAUCAAAGACAAGUCGUUUCAUGUAAGAAAUGUUAUGUUGAAAUUAUUGAAUUAUUUUAUGGACAUUCUAAAAGACUGGAAAUGAUUUUAGAUCGAUGCCUUAAUUGAUACUCAUAUUGCAAUAAGAAAAAAAAAACAAUAAUGUUUUCCCACUCGAAACUUUAUGUGACUCACCCUGUUUAUAGUAAAUUUGAUACGAUAAAUCAUAAUAAACCGAAUAAAAUGGAAGUUUAUAAUUAACAACUCAUUCUUAUAUCUUCUUAUUACAGUACUGAGAGAGAAUAUAUAUUAUAAUUAUGAUCUUUGGGGUUCCAUUGAUAUUUUCCUGGAAAAAUGAGAUUUUCUUUGCAUAAAAUAGGUCCUGCCGAGAUAUUCUGAUUCCUGUCAUGUUCAUUGGACUACAUGUUACAUAUUGUUGGAAAUGGUGUUGUUCGGAUAUCUUUAUAACGUUCUAUAAACAUUACAUCUGGAGCAGGAUACAUUUUUUUUUUCAAAAUCUUAUUUCCCCUACUUUCUAUUGUUUACGAACUCUCCACUUCGAAUAGAUAUAAACUCUAAAAUAAAUUACGGUGCUCAACAGCAUAAUAUAUAUUUUGCAUAGUCCUUGUAUAAGUCACUCAUUCAAGCGCAACAGGUUAAUAGCUGGCAAAUGCGACAGUCACAUGUCAAUAAUAUGUGAUAGUAAAGUCACACGUGCGGCAGUUGUCCGUUUUCCACCAUUGUUUAUUUGUCUGUGAUUUAUUUUCGAAGAUAUAUCGAGAUUAGCCAUGGCAGGACAGGCAUACUACGAUAUUAAACGCGCACAAUCUCCCAACAAUGAGACUCUUUUCUUCGAUCAAACGAGGCAUUGGCAUAUCGUGAUCAAAAUCGAUGUAAACGAUGAUAAGUGCAUUCAGAGUCGCUGGUAAAAACUUUUCAGAUGAGGGGAAUAAUUAAUUUGGGUAAUGAUAAAAAUAUCAUUUCCCUUUAGUACAGAAUCUCAUUGAAUUUGUUUUAUAAAGUUCAUUUUUAGAUAUCCGAAACAUGUUUAGUUUUCUUGGCGGGUUUUCUUCACUUCCUUAUAAAGUCUCUACUAGCUUUUAUUUACCGAAUAAACAAAAAUUCGGUUUCUUCACCUUCUCAUAAAUCAAACCUCCGAAUAAACCGAGUUAUUUGCCAAAUAACAUAUUAGAUAAUUACAACUGUCAAUUAAAGAGUUUAGUAGAAACUAUUAUACAUCAAAAGUGGUUUGUUUGUUUAUUUUUGUUUGUUUUGAAAAUACUCGUCAUACAAAUAAUUAAAUAUUUAAUAUGGAUGCUUUCCAAGAAGAUUUGUUUGAUGAGGAAAUACAGCAAAUUCCAGAAGAACCAGCUUAUUCCGUUCGUCAUAAAAUUGAUCAUUACAAUAUUUGGUCCGAUGAUGAAAUUUUUUCUAAACUAAAAUUCUCAGACCAUCACAACUAUCGACUACUUCAACAUUAACCUUAACAAAACACGUGCAAAUAUAAUUAACACCUCAAGCGACUGAUAUGUUUUAUAAGCCGUUGGGGGCAAAAGCCAACCGAAGCGCAUUCUUUUAGUGUUGUUCGGCGCCUUUGCCGCUUAGUAUUUGUUAUGACUUGGAGAAGUUCACGUCGUUUACCUUUCUUGCCAGUGAUUGCAGCUUAGGAUUUGUACUGAUUCUCUAUAUUGACGUGAUUUGGAUUCUGUAUUGUGUUCAGAAUGGAAAGAGCAGAAGAAGAUCAAAAAAUUAUGGGAAGAUGUUUUGUCAGCUAGUGAAGACGAUUUUUCGCCCGAUGUAAGUGAAUAUAAACCAUCGGAUAGUGAAUUAUCUAGUUCAGCAGAGGAUCCCGAAAGCCUAACGAAAAAAUUGGAUUUUUCGUUUCACCGAAAGUUGCAGUUCAAACAGUGAGUGUUCCAAGUACUUCAGCAAAGCGUGUAGUUUUUCCAGAAGUAUCCAGUCCCGUUUCUAAUUCUCAAUCACUCCCACAGCCAACUGACACUGACAAUGUAGAUGAUAAUAUAGAAAAAGUUAUAAGAAAAAAUUUUAACUACACUGAAGAAAACGCAGACGAAGGAUAAGUUCCGACAAAUAUUAUUUGGUCUCCUGUUACAGGAGAAAACUUUUAGACCGUAAAAAGUUUGAUAUUUGAUUUCUUUGUGGAACACACUAAUUUAUAUCCUGAACAACAAAAGCUUCUUCAAGCGGCAAAAUCAGAGCUCGUAUUCAUUAGUGGAAGAAAACCAGUCGUGAGGAAAUGGGUGUAUUCUUCUAAUGGGUUUGGUACAAAUACCUUCUAUAAUCUCUUAUUGGUCGACUAAGAAGAUUUAAACUAAUUACCUAACAACUAUCAUGCGAAGAAAUUGCUUUCAGCUGUUAUUGAAGACAUGGCAUUUUACAAAUAACCAAAAUGUUCCUAAAGGUGACAGAUUGUACAAAAUAACACCACUCAUGACAAAGCUUCUAGAAUGCUUUCUAACCCCAAUUAUUCCAGGCGAAUUUAUAUGUACAGAAGAAACCUUAUUGGCUUUCAAGACAGGUUCAAUUUCAAGCAAUAUAUUUCCAACAAGCGCCGUAAAUUUGGCUAUGUUUGAAAAAUGGCUUCUUUUAUGAUCUUUCCAUUUACUGCGGAAGAAAGAAAUCCAAAUCAAGAACAAACUGUGUCUUCUAACGUCAUCUUGAAAUUAAUCUUGAACUUACUAAAUCAAGGUGAUAAUUACUAUACAUAAGUAGAAUUAGCCAAGGCAUUACUCCAAACAAAAACCUACUUAUUGUGUACUGUAAGAGGUAACAGAAAGAACAACUCAAAAAUUGUUACCUAGAAAAAUGUAAAACGAGAAGAACGCAUUGCAAAAUACAAAACUUGUUCCCGAGAUGAUUGCCUUGAAGAAAAUAUCAGGAGAAACACCAAAACCAAAAAGUGUUAUUGAGUACAAUAAACAUAAGACUUAUAUUGAUUUGUCCGACCAAAAAAAAAAUUCUACAAUUCAUCAUUGUGCCGCGUACCGAAAAUUAACUAUAUUAAAUAUAGUCGAUUGUUGGAUCGGCAUUAGUUAAUGUCUUCGUCUCAUAUCAGCAAGUUACUCAAAACAAAAUGUCCAUUACCAAAUUUCGAGAAUAUGUUAUCAAGGGUCUUAUCGAAUGUGAAGAAAUCCCCCAGUAUGAAAAAGAUCACGUGCCUGGUCACAUCCUGGAAGACUGCGAGAAGAAAAAAUCAUCUAGCGGAUGUUAUGCUGAAAUUUCAGUAGCAUCUGGUCGUCAAGUCGCAAAAAAUAGAACACCAAUCACUAAAUUUCUGAAUAUACUGAAUAUACUGUUUAUACCACCACUACACCAACACUAACAAUUACACUGUCCGACGUGCGUUUCGAUAACCAAGUUAUCGUCUUCAGAGGCUGAAGGUAAACUGUUUAUCUUUAGUCUCUGAAGACGAUAACUUGGUUAUUGAAACGCACGUCGGACAGUGUAAUUGUUAGUGUUGAUGUAGUGGUGGUUUAAACAGUCUGUUAAGUGUGAAUAUCGCCAACGGUUUCAGAAAUUCCAGCUUAAUUACUAAAUUUCGCUGUAAUAUAUGCCAAAAAAACUUGUGUUCCAAAUGUUCCUUUGAUUUUCAUGUUGCAUUCAUUCCAAAUAAUUGUGCUUUCAAAAAUUAAUUAUGGAUCUAUUAUUUUUCCAUUUAAAAAUAUGUGACAACAUCUAAUUCCAAAACCAAGUAUACCCUCAUAUUGUCCAAAAUAUACUCAAUAACAUCCCAAAUCACUUGCACUGAAGUCGCAUCAAUGCUAUUCGGCGCGACCAGAAGUAUUUUUUGAUAUGUCGGAUAACAUCGAUCCCCCAUGGCCGUAUUGAAUUUAAUUUUGUUAGCAAAAUGGGGGAUAAGGUGGAUCCCAUGGCAGUUUACGUGUUAAGCAUAGAUCAUUGUCAAAAACACAGAUCAUAGGAAAUCGUCCAUAGAAGAAUCGCUUAUUUCUUUCCUUGUUCAAUAGUGUUACCAACACCAGAUUAUUUGUUGAGUACAUAAUGAAGUGACAAAUUAGUUACUUUGUAGUAUGAAGUAACAUUUAUUUGACAAUUAAAAGUUCCUACUAAAUUUAUGUGGCUAAUAAUUAUUAAGCAUUUUAUUAGAACGUGAAUUUUUAUUUAAAAAUAAUAACAAAAUGAUAAUUUUUUUAGUGAAAAGAAUGUAAUUUUCCUAUUUUCAAGACAAUUGUGAUAGAUGGCGUUACUUAUGCAUUUUGCAUGAAAGCUUGAUUAGAAAGUACCUAAGAAAGUGCGUUAUCAAGGGCUUGGUGUCCGGUCACAUAUUUAAGAAAUUAUUAUUUCUAACAAGAUAACAUUCUAUGAAUUUGAGUAUCUUUUGUGUCGAAAAAUUAAUGUUUGUUUUAAUUUUUGAGUAAAUAUCUCCUCCCCCCUUAUUCGAUGAGUUAUUGAUAUUUGCUUGAAAGUAAGAGGCUCUUACUCUUAUAAUGAGAAAUUUUUGAGUUGAAUAUAAUAUUAUAGUACUUGAACCCACUUCAAACUACUUACUAGUCGAGUACAAACUUUCAACAGACCGUUUUUUAAGUAAAAAGUAUGGUUCGUUAGGAGAACCACCACCUUAUCUGAAUGUCUUCAGCUUUUUAUUUAUAACGAUUGGUCAUUAUCCAUUUAAUCACAUCGGGGAAUUCAAGCAUUUGAGUUUGAAAAUAUUCUAUAAUUAACAAUUGUUUCAAAAUUGAUCUGACCGGGAAAGUGAAAAGUGGUUUUUGGUGGUAGUCUAUAAUUUAGAUUCAACAACUAAUUACUAACAGAAACAACAGAAAAAGAAGCCUUCAUCUUGGUGAUAAGGUUAUUGUAGUAUCGGCAAUAAAUUAUUUUACAGGAUCUUGUUCUCUUUUAGGGUUCGAGAAUCGUUGCUCUAUCAUAUAGUACGAUAAGCUUUGACUCCUUUAUCAUGCAAUUUUAUAUAUAAAUCCCAUAUUAAAAUUCCCAUUGCGGUCACCGCUGCCACAAAACAUGCACAGAUAAGUAAAUUGGCAUUGCAGCCUUUCGUUCCUUUUGUUAUAUAGGGAUAACGAUGAACACAGUUAAUUCAUUAAUGCGUGAAGAAUUUUCAUUGCCGUGAUCGGAUUAACCAUGCAUCUAUCGAUCCGAUCAAUCUGAUAGAAGCGAUUCGAGUGUGUGAAGUUUUAAAUUUUAUUCCUGACAAAAGUGUUUUUCAUUAUAUCGUUAAUAGAACUUGGGUCGAAUAUAAAUAUUUAAAGUUUCAUAUUCUAGUUAGGACUUUACUUUUUAAAACUUUUAGCGAAACGUUAAGAAAACUGCUGUACUGUAGUCUAUAUUUUUUCAAUGACAUAUACAGAGUGUUUAAAAAAAAGGUGAUCCCGUUUUUAGGAUAGAUAGAAAACUGAAAAAUAUUCGUAGCGUCACCCGUAUUCAAGCUAAAGGGCGUUGAAUAAACUUGACUUAUUGAAUUUUAGCUAUGGAAUUUUCAAAAAUUACCAGAAAUGGUAGCUUCGAGAAGGGUUAGUAAGAUUUUGGGAUAUUUUGUUAUCAUCAUCGUUAUCUAUUAACCUGACUUCAAAAAGCUUACAGAGAAAUUUUUCAAAAUUAAUGAUAUACGAGGUCUGGCUAUUGAAUAAUGAGACUGGUUACGAAAAAGGGUUUUAUUAUGAAAUUAUUCUACAUUAGAAUGCUCCCCUUCAAUAUACUCUCCUCCCCUCACCCCACACCUUUCCAUACGUUUUUUCUAUUGAUUGAAGCAGUGCUGGAAUUCUUCUUUGGUGAAGAGCUCUGACGUUGUUUGCUUUACCUUUUCCAUCGACCCACAUUUGGUUCCACUCAAAGCAGAUUUUAUCUUCGGAAACAAAAAAAAUCGCACAGUGCCAAAUAUGGUGAGUAUGGCGAGUUUUCGAGCACUGGAGUGCGCUUAUUAUCCAAAUACUGCUUCACAGAUAGCGCAUUAUGAGCAGGUGCGUUAUCUUGGUGCAUAAUCGGAACGCUUUUUACGAAUUCGUUUUCGUAGUGUUGCCAAAACUGACAAAUAGUAAGUCUGGUUGACAGUCUGACCCAUUAAUACCGUUAAUGUUGAAAAAACGAUCAAUAUUGCCUCUAGGUCUCGUUAUUUAAUAACCAAACCUCGUAUAACAAUCAGUUUUUUUCCCAGUAUAACAAAUUAUGAUAUACCACGCACAAAAUGUACACCAUCUCCCCUUGUGUCCUUACUUAAUUACACAGUUGCAACCCCUUUUUCAGAUACAAAUCACUUAUCAAAAAUUGAUGCUAUUAAUGACAUGUUAAGGCUUUGAUUACUUUAAAAAAUGUAUCAUUUCCAUGUCUGAUAUCGUGCAAGUUACUAUUUAACAAAUUAUUAUAAAUAAGUUAUGACGUAUUUUUUUAUUUUCAAAUGGAAUAAUUAUAUAUUGUAUCCAUACUAGUUAUCGGUUAAUAGAAUUAUUGAUGUAUUAGAUUUUCAAUUCAAUAUUGGGUGAUUAAUUAGAGUGAUAAAGCCCAGUGCUUAUUUCGUCCUUUGACAUAAAAAUUUGAAGAUUUGAGGGAUUAUAGCCAUAAUUAGUCUCCAAAUUUUUUAUAUUAUUCACAAUCUUACAUAAUCUUCCAGAAUGCUGUGCCAUAUCAAAGUGGAAUUUUUAAUGUAUAGUAACUUUCAUAUCAUGUCGAAAAAUCAUAAAUUUGUUCUUUAUAAGAUAUUUUAAUCGAGUACAGACUUCAAAUUAAAAUGAUAAACCCUGAAACUUCUAAGUGAUGGAAGUCAUGUCCGUGUUAUUCAAUGAUUCCAGAUGGAAUUAUUCUACAUAGGGUAUAGUAUAACAAGGUGAGAUGGGUUCUUACGUUGGUUCGGUUAUUUUUUCCCCUGUAUGUUCCAGUUUGCCUAUAUUAUAUAGCGUAAGAACAGUCCCUCUCCUAAAAAGAUUAGAUUCAUUGCAUAGAAUAGGAAAAUUAAGAUCAAUGAAUAUGUAUCACAAUAAUUCCUAUCUCUUAAAAAUUACUUCAAAGUGGAAGACGAAACCUUCACCCUUAGACGACAAAGUAUGUUUAGCUCCCAUAAGGUACACUAUUGAUGUGAGUUCACAAGUCAUUACCAGCACUGAUAGAAGUUAAUGUUUGCAACAACAUCAGGUAACGAAUUAAUGUGGUAUCACUUUUUAUCUCGAAAUUUUAAUGAUGAUAUAUACCUGGAUUUUAUACACAUCACUAAUUCAAGGUAUAAGAGGAUUUGAAUCAUUCGAACAUUUUUCGAAACGAUGGAUUGGUACAUAUGCAGAAGCUUCAAUUAAUUGGCCUCUUCGGCUCAGUUUGGUCAUAUCUCAAGAGAGAGGGAAAAUCGGAGUUAACGCUCUUAAAGUAGCGGCCACCUACUCCGAAUCUCUGUAGUAAAUUUUUGAGAUUUGCAGACGUUGUUUGUUCGUGUACUUCACCAUAAUGAAAAGGUCAUGUCUACUUAAUAAUCUGACAGUGACAGUUCGAUGUUAAGUGAAAAGGUAUGAUCACAAACCAAAUUCAAAAUUGUCAAGUCCCUAUUAGAAAACCCAUACUAUAGAGGUAUUUCACCAAGAACUGAAAGAUAGGAUUUGACAUCACUUUAGUGACCUCAUAGAUGAUCUCCAACCGUUUAUAAUAUUAUUGGAUCCAUUAGGAUAGGAUGGUUUUGUAUAUUCGUGAAAACGAAGGACGUUUUGGCCACUUACUUUAAUUAAAUUUAAUUAUAUCUCAUUAGUCUUCAUUUUGAUAUUCUUUAUAAUUUUCAAAUCAAAGUAUGCCGAAAACGGUAUCUUUUUGGUGUAAAACUGAAUGUCAAACCACAUCAAAGUUAGUUGUAAGCAACUUUGAACUUUAAUUACCUAAUAUUAGUUGUCUUAAUCCAUCCAAUAAUUUAAAAAUAGUUUAUCAAUUAUUAUAAAAUGUUUUUCGUUAUUUAAAGAUAAAUAAUCGCUUCACCUCACAUAUAUAGACCACGAUCAUAUCCUUUUGGUAUUAAACGGUCGAACGAAGGGUGGUGAUCGACGUUAUUGUACAAGAACACUAACAUUACGGCGUUAUUACCAACUAAGUAAUAGCCUCUCUAGUUAGUUGUACAAACUACUUAUUACACUUAACUUUAACGCUCAUCUCGUUCACUCAACCUGUGCCCUACUAGCAACGCUGGAAACACAGAUUAUCACACUCUCAAUUAUCUCCUUAGGGACUCACUUCAACUUUUCUUAGUUACCGUACCGGGUAAAUACAGGGUAUUCCAAAAUUAUCUUUAUAACUUCAUGAAUUAUAAAUUCAUAAAAAUAAACAAGAUAUUUAUAUUCUGUCUAUUGCAAGUAUUACUGCAACUAAGUUUUUUUAGUAUACUACUAAUGCGGCGUUUUAAGUCAUCAAUGUCAUUAACCGGUGUCCUGUAAAAAAUGUCCUUCAAAUAAUCCCACAAGAAGAAAUCGAGGGGUGUUAGGUCCGGAGACCUUGGUGGCCAUGGAAGACACAUGGAACGUGGCCUCAUUACCGAAACACAUCUUUUUCAAGAAAUCUUCAUGAUUCUCAAUACGUUAUAUCUGUCUACUGCAAAUUCCACAUGUUUUGGUCGACCUGUUGGUAACAGUGCCUGCAGCAACUGUUUAUGAAGAAUCCUGUAGAUUUAUGAAAUAUCCUGUGGAUUGUAGCUGUAGGCAUUUGGAGCUGCCUUGAAACCUGACGAAUUGAAGUUUUCGGAUUGUGCUGGAAUGUUUGCCGUAUUGGUUCCACGUUUUCUGGACUUGCGCUUGGUCGUCCGGCACGGAUGGAGGGUCUGGAUGGUGAGUUUCUUUGGAAUUUUUUCCUGAAGUUCCGUUGAUCCUGUGUAUCUGAUUUCGCCUCUAUGAACCAUGAGCUUUCUGUUGUGGUGUCCACAUCUUUACUAUAACUGUUCAGCCUAUUAAAAAAAAACUUGUAUAUAUUCGAAGUUGUGAAUUUUUGAAGUUGUGAAGAUAAUUUUGGAACACCCUGUAUAUAAUAUAUAAAGCUACACGAGUAGUUAUGUUGUCGAAGUUUCCAAUAUUUUCAUCUCGUUUCUUUAAGGUAUUUCGUUAAAGAUAAUUUGUGAAUAAAGUAACUUGUCAAUUUUAUAUACUGACUGACAAAAAAUUAAACACCUAUGAACGUUUCUAAGAUAUCAGAAUUGUAUAUCAUUUGAUAAUUUCACGAAUAAAAAAUUUUGUGACAGCUACUACUUUUGCUAAUACUGAUUAAAUCGAUAACUUUUUUGUUAAUCAAUUUGAAAGUGAUUCUCAAUCAAAAGAUGAUAUUUAAAUCUUUCAUAAUAACAAAGAUUGUCCAUCUGUUAAUUCUUUAUUAGUUUUAGACAUAAUUAGAAACAUUUAAACAAGGUAUUUGGCAUUGAAGGUCUUAAUAUACAACUCAUUACUCUGUUUUCUUAUAUUCCUAUAAUUUUAAAUAUUUUACAAUAACAAUGUUUUUAAUUGUUUAUAUUUUUAGUGCACCUUCCACAAAAGGUUCCAACUGGUACGAUACCCUCACCUAAGCCUAAUACUUUUCGCAUCCACCCCUUUACAUCUUUAUUUAUAAAUUUAUUUUCGAGUCUGUCUCUCAAGUGCGGUCCAACUAACUGACGUGUAAACUUUCCUAUAAAGUUGAACCUUGGUUCCAAUUUGCUCUCAGUAAAACAUUUAUGUACAAUAAAAGCAUUGAUAAUCGCCAUAUAACACUGGAUACAGAAAGGGGACAUCUUUGGUCUCUGCGCUGGGUUGGAAUACAUACUGCACUUGAAAUCCAGGGCAGCAACUCCUCCUUUUGUUUCGUUGUAAAAUACAUUUAUUUCCGACUUUCCUGUUUCACAUUUUUUUUUUUUAGUUUUACCUUUUACUUUCCAGAGAGAAAAACCAUAUGAAACAUCAAUCAGUGGUCUUCCUUUUGUUUGGGUGAAUUCGGGGGGCAACUUGCACUUAUUUUUUCAUUGUACCCACGUAUGUUAUUCCCCUUUUCCUUAGCUCAACUACUGCCUGUAUCAAACUGAACCAAUUGUCUGCUGUUAGAUUUCUGUUCCUUCCCAGAAUUGGUUUUGAGACAGACAGCAGAACAUGAGUAGGUAUCAAAAGUUUUUUCUCGCUAUCAGCUAAAUCUUUGCCAUCCGACCCUUUAUGUCGUUUAUUGGACAUGUAAACCCGAAAUUUAACACGUCUUCGAAACGGAAGCAAUGUUUCAUCGAUGGUACAUCGAUCGCUAAUGUUAUAAACAACUUGACUGUUUGUUAUAAAUUUAUGCAAUAUUUCAGAAAUAGCUGCGACAGGAUCAGACUGUUUCUUGCUGGUCUAGUGGUGAGAUCGUCGGAGCGCAACGCUUUUUUUUAUUACCAUAAACAUUUUGUAUGACAUGGCAGUUCUAAAUAUAGCCCUUUGUGACCAGUGUCAUAUAAAGAUUUUGUACCUUCUUUAUUCGAUUUCAUCAAAACCCCAAGAACUGUAAGCAGUUCAUUUUCCGAUAUAUCAUAAUAAUUUCUAAUAUUUGCUGCACCAAUUUUGUUUCUUAUUGUUGAAGAUGUAGAUUUGUAAGCUCAUCUUCCAUCAUGUCUGAAUCGAAUAAAGAGACACCAAAUAUCGAUGGAGAAUUUCCCAACUUUCUCGAUGCAUAUUGGGUAACCUCUGGUAGCUUACAUUUCAAAAUAUUAAAAAAUGGUGGCCUUCCCACUCUCCUAGGUUCUUUAGAAAUUCAUUUCAUUCUAUUCUUGGAGUUCUAUAUUUUCUCUGGGGGACCACAUGCUGGAGGAACCACUUGAGGUUGAGUGGAAUCAGAUUCGCUAGAAUCGCUAGAGUCACUCGCGUCUUUUAACUCACUAAGAUUUGGUAAGAAAUCUGAGUCAUCUUCAGACUCCGAAAAUGAAUGGAUUAGAUGAUCAUGAGAAAAACUGGAUCAGUUUGAGUACUCGUACCUGGACGUGAGGAAUCUCGUAGUGUAACCUCAGCAGGUUCACGUGUUAACUGAGCUUCUCCACUGUCGCAAGAGUAGUGAUCCUCUUCAUUCUGAUUUUCCUGUGCGAACAAUCUUCGUAUAUCGAAAGUAAAUUUUGGGUCCGUAACCCGAAAUAUUUGCUUGUCCAUCUGCACAGAAAAAAGUUACUUGUUGAUAAAUAUUGACCUGAUUCUACAAAGGUAAUACUAUUCUAUUAACCCUAUAUUAUAUUAUUUUGAAGUUUCAAAUUUAGUUUAAUGGUAGAAAACUUAAUAACAAGGGAUGUGAAAAGGUAGACAUACUACAAAAAAAGUAUAGCAUCUGUGACACGUGGGUCUGACAAACCCGGUAAUUUAAAAAAAAAAUGCCUUACCUGUAAAAUUAGUAAUGGCUGAAGUCUCAAUACUCUCCGUGGCUGUCACUAGCAUACUAGAUUCAAUUUACUUGGCAGCUAGAAGUGUACAGAUGACACAAACAACAAACUUUCCCGUAUGGGUCUUACUGACCCACGUGUCGCGUUACGGGUUAAAUCACAUAAUAUAAAUAGUAAUUCUUCAUUUUAUUAAAUUAAGUUAUCCGGCUAUUGCCAACAGGUUAAGUUAGAUGAUGUUAUGUUUAAUAAUUUGACGAUAAAAGAAAUUGUCCCUCAAGGGAACAUUUUAGUGUGAAGCAUGGGUCAAUCGACCUAACACAAACCUUCCAUACAUCUUCCUAUAAACAUUGAUAUUUUGUGAAUGAAUGAUUUAUUAUUAUCACUAUAUUGUGGUAUGUCAUGACUAAAACUACAGGGUCGGCAAUAAAUUUUGCACUUUCGAAAUUGCCAUGAAAAAAGAGAACUUAUUGCAUUGGAACAAUGCUCAUUUAAAAUGAAGAACAUAGAAUUCAAAAUUAUUACUUAAAGUGGCUAUUAUCUGUUUUUAGUUAUUCGUGUAGACUAGACUUUCAAGAAAACUCUGAUAUUAGUCUGGACUGCUUAGAGGUUAUAUCUACUCUCCUGGAGAUCAAUUUGCUUAGAACAAUUUAUGCCACCACAGGUAUACUCUUUUUGGAUUUAUGACAAGUUGGACCAACUUCGUGCAUCAAUGCUGUCUCUUUGUAACUUCUCAAAAUAAUGUCACUGUGGUUAAAUGAAUAUACUAUAAAGAAAUGAUAAAACACGCUUUUAAAGCACAUCAAACUAAAAAAUGUAGUUGUAAGGAUGUCGGAGUGCUUAAUUUCCAACACGGAGGUUCCAAUCCUUUGUCGAACGAAUUUUUUCUAAAAAGAGCUACUUGCUCUUAGUCAAAAGGAGAGUUACAAACAAACAAACAAACAUUUAGAUGAAACUAAUAGAAGUUACCAAAAUGUUAGAACAUCGUAUCGAUGAAGAUUUUUCGUGAAAUCAAAUCCCAUAUCAAGUUUUUCACUAGAGAUGAAGUUUUAAGUACAACUCCUACAUCUAUACGAUCUAUUUUCAAGAAGCGAGAAAAUGUAUGGCACAGCUUGUAGUUCAUACCCAAUUUUCAAGUAAUUUCCUGGAAUAGUAGCCGUUCAAUAGAUUCUGUACAUCACCAAGGAGCCCCAAUUAAAGUUAACGAAAAUAUCAUUACUGGAUAUGAAAUUGUAGUUAUAAUUCUACCCAUUACAUAUCAAUUACCCUGUAUGAAAUUACUUGAGAGGUUCAACAAGUCCUAGAGAUGAAACACAUGAUAUACUAUCUAAACUUUGUGUGGUAACAUAUCCCAGAGGAUGAAAUUGUUUGAUGAUCAAGAUUCUGUGCAAUGCGAGAGAAUCCCAAUAUCAAAUACAUAUGAAUACGUUGGUUAUAUAAAAACCAGUGCUGGCCAAACAAAAUGUCGAUAGAUGUUGAUCUAAAGAAUACAGAUUUUUUUAUAAAAUUCCGCUUCAUCAAUUGAGGUGGUUAAUUGAAAAAAUAUUUCUAAUGAUGCGGUCGUAAUAAUUUAUGUAAUGUGAAUCAGCUUUUCAAGGAUUAUUUACCAAUGAAUUUCUUUGAUAUAAAUUUAACACAUAUGAGGCAUUUUUGUAUUGAAUACUUUUCGAAAUAUGUAUCCCGUAUCAAAAAGAGUUAUUCAAUAUGUUGAGAGUUGUAAAUAAUAAGAUGGGAUGAAACUUCACAUUUUGCGGCUACUCCAUUGAUAAUUGGGGAAUGAAAUUUCAAUUGAAACUUCUCCUUAGUCUUAUGAAAUAUAUAGUAUUUAAUGUCAUGAAAAAAAUUAUAUUCUGUGUUUUGUUCAAACUUCACUCUAUCGAUAAUGUCAACUAUUAUCCAAAUUUCGUUUCAAUCACUAGUGCUUCACACGAGCUCAAAACCUUCAUCUUCUCGACUCAAUUUCGUAAUCUCAGUAUAGACGGUGACAGCUAAGAAUCUCUUUUUUCACCUCAUAAUAACUUAUUUCACAGUGUGCUUUCUAGAGGAACGGAAUUGAACAUUUUCAUAAACGUUCAAUUUCUUCCUUUACGAAAUAGGAAAUCUCGUAACCGUGCCUGUUGCAUUAUUUUCUAUAUAUUCGACUUUUGAUAGUUAGUGGAGCAUCUACGAUAGCUGCUUAAAGUUUUUGCUCUUUAUUUCUAUAAUGUAGAGUCCACAAUUUGUGACAACUUUUUUUCCUCUUUAUUUAACAAAAACAAUGAGAAAUAUUAAUUGAGUAUGUGGUUUUCUUUCUAUAUCUAUAUGUUUUAAGUGCUAUAAUGUAGGAGAGAGAGAGAGACAGAGAGAAAUGCCUUAUGGUCUAAAAAUUUGUAGACGAAAGCUUGUGAAAACUAAAAAAUAUAAACAUAAAAAUAAUUAAAUAAAGAUACAAAUACAAAAGGAUUAUGCCCUCAAAUUAUUGCGAAAUGCGGGAAAAGAUGAUAUCGAUUUUAUUUCAAUUAGCAAGUGAUUGUGCAUUUUUUUGCAUUGUAAAAUAUUGAGCCCUUAACUAAUUCUGAACGGAAAAUUGGAAAAGCGUGAUUACGAAUUAGGCAAACAGAUCCAAAGAUUAAUAAGGAAGAAAGAGUCAGAAUUUUUAAUCUUUUUAAAGAAGUCCUUGCAGUAAGCCCUGCGGGUAGACUCCAAAAUAUUUUUAAUGUUUAUUUUUGAUGUCAUUAAUUGUACUGCGAAGCUCUGCUAAAACUACGAGAAUAAAGAAGAAACUGUGUAAAUUAGAAUUAGUAUCAGGUAGAUAUGAAAGCGAAUCAUGAGAAGGAGUUAUAGAAUUUGAUAAAUUUUAGGCUAAAUUCACAAUGAAAGAUUAUAGCGACAUUCAACAAGCUGUAUAACGUUUAGAGGGAAAAACGGCAAAAGAAUCUGCUCCAACACUGAAUGGAAUUUUCAUAAUUUUGUUUUUGUUUAGAAUAUCUUCUCUAAACAAAUUCGUUUAUGCUCAUAUAAGUUAUUACCAAAAAUAUAUUAAAACGUUUGAGAAGAAACGAAAUUAAACAAGCCAAAUUAUAUAAAACGUAAUAUAGACCAAUCACAGAUAUCACUAUUCCACCAAUAAGUGAUUUGCAAUUCUAUAGCUUCUCAGAAAAUGAUUUUUUGGUUAGCAGAAGUAUAAUAUCUUGCAAACAGUUAAAAAUGUUAAAAAUGGCUCUAAACUAUAAUCAUCUGAUGAAAAAAGAGUUUUACCAGAAUUCCGAUGAUGGAUGCAGCGAAAGCACAAAUAAAAAGGUACACAGAGAAAAAUAACAGCUCUUAAUUUACCAUGGAAGAUUUGGGAGAUAAAUCAAAUCUCAGUAUGUUUAUUAGAUGUCGAUAAUACACAAACUGACAUAAUACUUGAAGAAUUGAUAAAUUAAUUUCAAAAUCUUCAUAUUUACCACGAAAAUAAUAAUAAAAAAUGAGAAAAAUAAUACGAAAACGAUUUUUUGUUAUGGAAAGAAAUAUAAGUUUAUCUUGCAAGACGAAUACUAUUAUUUCUAUCAUCUCUGCAAACUACUUUGGCUGAGGUAGACGUGAUUUAGGACAGUAGAAUUAUCAAAAGGUCUCUAUUCGCCUCGUUACCUCUUAUAAUGCUGUUAGGGCUCCUUAAAAAAUUAUGUAAUUAUAAUAUGUAGAUAUCUUCAAACAUAUGAAAGCACUAGCAAUAACAAAUUUGUAAUGAUUUGGCUGGAAUGUAAAAUUUCCUUUCUUGUAGUAGGUGUACCGAAAUUUUUGGUUACGUACCUAGUUAUACUUCUUUAUGAAGGGCAUGAAUUGUUUUGACAAAAAUAUUAUGCCCACCACCAAGCGAAGCUUACCCUCCCCCUUAAUAUCGAAAAUAACGUUCUUAAUAUGUCAAAUACGAAAAAUAUACAAGAUUCCAAAAAUUAAAUCACGUAUAUAGGAUUAUAGAGGUUACCCCAACUUUACAAGAUUAUCCUCGAAAUUUUGAGAAUUCGAAUUAGAAGAAUUACGAAAACUUCUUGGGACCACACGAUGUCAGAAAAUAUCAUCACAAAUGACGAUAAAUUUUGAGGUUAUAAUAUUUUUCUCACCUCGGUAGCUAUAUAAAACAUACUCGUAUACCUAAAAACACUACUACGAGCCUUCCAGUGCCAUUCGGAGCAGCCGCUGGGAGUUGGGUGGGGGGUGUGUUUAAAGUACUUCCAGUCAAUUCCAAUUAUAAGUACUCAAAAUCCGGAAGAUCUUCCGAAAAUUACAUCUCCAGGUUCAAUAUUUAGCGAUUCCUGGCACCCUCACAAAGUGGGGGGAAUUCAAUAUUACCAUAUACGAAUGUCAAGGCGCUUCGGAAUUUUUUCCCAUGAACUUUCCCCCAUGAAUCCCCCAAACUUUAUCCAUGUGAUUAUGGAUAUUUUUUUGUCUUCAAAACGUACUUUCCGUUUUUCUGCUAUGGUGUAACGUAAAAAAGUUACACACCCCCAAUUGAGGUUCUCCGAAAAUUCCGACUUUCGGCCCCAUCUAGACUCCCCAAAAAGUGGGCCGAUUGCAAGAGCUCGGAUAUUUUCAGGUAUCUUAAGCUGGCUUAUUGAUUUCUCAAAAUGCGGAAAAAAAAUUUGUGGAAUUUACUUUUCAAUUUUUUACUUUUUCAGUAAAAAAUAUCUUUUUAUUUGAAUAUAUUAAUACAAUUCAUUCGGAAAAUAUCUCCAGCUAUCCUCUACAUACGCCAUUGGAGUAAAUGAUCCAACACUAUUUCUCCUUUAUUCAAAUAUAUAUCCUUGGACCAGCAGCUAGCACAUAUACACACACCGAUUUCCAUACUGACUGAUGUUAUUUACCCCUUCCAUACUCUGUUCCCGUGUAAGGUACACUCCGAAUAUAUUUCAGACGUUUGUACAAGACAUGUACACUCGAAAGUAAAACUAAUGGAACGUCUUAUUGAACAAGGAAAAUUAAUUUUCUAAUGAAACUUAUUUCUAUUAGUACAACAAUAUUUUUUGUAAUCCUGGAAAUAUUUCAUCAACAUUUAUAAUUCAUAAGAGGUUUUUCAAGAUUCUUGGGUGCUGAAUACGGGACAAUCUACCUUCCUCUCCCAAAAAGUAAGAGCGGGAUAAGAAAUAAAGAAACAUAAGGUUAAAAAAAUAACCUUGUGUAUUAUCUGGAGCUUAGUAUUGAUAUAAUUAAUAUUUCUUCUGGGAUCUCCACUUUGUGAAUGUUGAGAACAUGGCUACGGCUUUCAUGAGCAAUAGAAAAAUCUUUAUUGCAAUAUUUGCAUGGGGCAUUGCAAACACUACCUUACAUGGUUGAAGCUACUCACACGCAAAACUCUUUCUUUGGCAUAUCUUCAGUGCUACAACUUUUCCUUUUUUUUCAUAAUUCAUUGUAUGUAUGAAGAAUAUAGCAGCAGUAUCGAUAGCCUAAAUUCAAAUUAUAAAAGAAAAAACUUUCUAAAACACACUCCACAUCUACUCAAACAGUAUAUAAAUUAACAACAUCACUCGGUUAGAGCAUAAGUCGACUGCUGUGAACUGUACUGGGUAACGAUUGGUCAAAUGGAUGACAUGACGUGCUGUGGUGGUGACGCCAAUAUUAAUGUUCUUUGUUGCGGGAUAAUACAAUUACUAAAACAUUUUAUGUAACUUUUCAUUUAAUUUUCCCAAUUUUUUCACUAAUGAAAGUAAAAUACGGGACAAACAGCUCCCGUUUCACUUUGUUGUGGAACGCGUGACAAGUUAGGAUUGGUCGUUGAAAUCCGGGACUUCCUGGAAGAGUAACAUCGCCCAAUUUUCCAAACUAUUUGGCAAGAAACUGUUGGAGAAUGCAUUCUACAUGGGUAAUAUUCAAUUAACUGUGCUUUUCUCAGUGUUUCUAUUGAGACAUUUGGCAUACUUCAUUUUUCUCUUAGGACGCAUUUACAUGAAGCCAGUAGAUGGUCCAGUUGACUGGUGCCAACUCACUGGUGCCAGUAGCAGGCCUCGUACGAACUCCACUGACGUCCAGUGAAAAAAAGUCACUUCAGUCGACUGCCUCAUGAGUAGCUUUCAGGUCAGCCCAGUUUCCCUCACCACCGAAAAUUCAAGCUAGCGUGACUCGUGGAAUCGUGUGAAUCACAGGAAGCGUUACAGUCCAGUUGGACCUCCAGUUCCAGACAGUACACGUGCCUUUUGUUACGUUUUGUGUUUCGCGAUUCAAAUUUUGAGAUGCCAACGAAGAAAUUGAGCGAUGAUUUAAAUGUUUUUUGUUGGAGCCCACAGAGAAAAAGAAUGUUUGUUGAACCAGUUAUACAAAAACUAACUCGGCACUCUAGAAACUUUCAGAUGAAAUGGAGUUGGAGGAUUUUGGCUGAAGUCAAAGCAAAAAAGUCAAAGCAAAAAUAGAAUCUCUUCGAAAGUACCUACAACCCAGAACUGGACAAGCAGAAAAAAAGAGAAAUCAGGCCCUGGAUCGGAAGAUGUUUAUGUUCCUAUAUUGGAGUGUUUCAAGUUAAGGAAGGAAUUGCUUUCACUGAAAUGAAUAACUACUUGUAACAAUUAUUACUUCAAUUGAUAAUAAAAUAUUUGGAUAUAUUUCUUUAUACUAAGCUUCAUACUAGAUACUUCUUGCAAAUCUUUCACAUUCCAUAUUUAGUAGAAACGGUGGAGCUCUUUCAUCACGUGACUCAAUCUACGAUAUAUCGAACACGUAUUAUCUACAUACUACAAUGGAAAUAUAAUAACAUAAGAUCGAUUGUCUUCUUCACAAGAUGAACUACAAGACAUACUUGUUGUUUUCCUUGAAUUAACAGUAUUAAUCGUAAAAAGCGACAUCGACAUAACGUGACCGGACUAAAAGUUAAAUUUCAGCUUUGUUUCCUGUGUUGUUUUUAGUGAUUUUUUCGUUUGAGCCUGUAUUUAUUGUGAAAUAGUUAUUUUCCUAACAAGUGCGGAAAGUGAUACUUUCCCGCACGCGACUGCAGUUGUCCCGAACGACGCGGAGCGGAGUUCGGGUAAGCGGUCAAGUGCGGGAAAGACACUUUACGCAUGUGUUAGGAACAUUAUUUUUUCUACGACCGUAUAUACAAAAAAGUAUACCAACCCAUUUUUGAAAAAUUAUUUUAUUCCAACAAACAUAACAAUAUAAAAAACUGUAACUAAAAACUACUAAUUAUUAUAAAUAUUAAUAUGGAAAACACAAUUUGUUGUAUUCUGUAGACUAGUAAGAAUUGCCGGUCCAGUGGAAUAAUUUGGUUUCAACUGGAAGGUAGAUGACGUCGAUGAGGAUUGCAUCGGUUGCAGGUCGCAUAAAGAUGACGAUGGCGGUGACGGCAACAGUUUUAAGUCAUUUGGCAGGUAACAGCUCGGAAUUAGUUUCAUUUGCAGCUUUCAAAAUGGCCUCGGGAAGUUCUUCUUCGGAUGAAUCCAUUAAUAUUAUUGUAUCGGAUUCGGUUCAAUGUGGUUUGAUUAAGAAGAAGAUUGUACUUAUUCGGUCACUUCCAAGACGUUUUGAACAACUUUCACGUUUUAGUAACAAUUACAUGGUUAAAUAAAAAAUAUCUGUAUUAUUUUAUAUUUUUAAAAAAUUAAAACUGCUACAAAAAGCUAGAAAAGGUUUAAAUUUUAUUUGAUGGACUAUUUCGUGAUUAUUUAUUUGCUUGUAGUAACAAUAGUUAUAAUCUCAGAAGUAAAAAACUAUCUAAUAAGGUCAAAAUUUGCAUAAUUUUACUUUCCCAAAAAACUAAAAUGCGUACGGGAAAGUGGGUUAAAACGCACGGUCGUAGAAAAAUUAGUUAUUUUAAGAACUAACUAGAUUUUUAUUCAAUUUUACUCUUACUUAUAGUGUGGUAUUUAAAAUUCUAAUCUAUUGUAUUUAAACCCCAGCCGACAAGUUUGAUUUGAUUCUAAAACGUAAAUAGACGAGUAAAAUGUACCUGCCUGUGAUUCAGGGUACCAGGCAUGUACUGUACCCUUUUUGUACACCAUUCGUCCAUUAGAACUUCGGUAGUCUUUUAUCUCAUGCAAAUAAUCUUGUCGCCAUCGAACUACCCUUGACGAUUCGUUUAUUGCCAUCCGUUUAUUCAGUUUUUUGUAUUUAAAACAAUAUGUUGACAAAACUUGACACAAUGUUUCUAACCUAGUGUAAUUGUAUUCUGGAUAAUUUGCUACCUUUUGCUGUAUUACUUCUAAUGCCGCAACCGUUUUCUCCUUAUAUAAACUACUAAAUUUCCCAACGUAUAAAAUCUUGAGUAGCUUUGUCAACUGCUUACAGUUAUUUUUUAAAUUCAUACAUGUCUUUAUUCUCACUACACUGGGCAAUUCCAUUGUCUUUAUAACUAUCUGAAUGGUACUCAAAAAUAUAACUUUUUAAAUGCUGCUCUAGAAGUGUAUGCAAAACGAGUCAUCUCUGGAUUUGAUAAAUCUCAAGACUAUCAGAGAGCUUGGCAAAAACUUUGUGAGAAGUUUGAUAAGAAAAAUUCCCAAUCGAUAUCCAUAUUAAAGCACUUUUCAAUAUUAAUCCUAUAAUUAAAUUCAUGAAAUUCAGAAAUUAAGUAGAUGACAUUUCAAAACAUAUCACAGCACUUAAGGAAUGGAGCUUUUCAAAGAAGCCCUUUGAAAUUUGACUAUUAUUCAUCAUUUACAAUAAACUUGCUAAAAUUACUCAAAAUAAAUGGGAAAACCUCAUUCUCAAAGUAAAAAACACACUAAUUAAAAUCAAUCAAAUGUUCAAGUCCACAAAUCGCCAAAAAUACACGGCCACAGUCAGUAUACAUUUAAUGACUUUUUGGAAUUAAGCAUCAAUGACAGAUAGGACAAGGUAAAAGAACUACGUUAGUUAGUUAUUAGUACGUUAGUUAUGUUGAAACUAAGAAUAGAGCAUUUGAAAAAACGUGCAUUUUAGGUUUCUGUGAGGAAUGCAGACGAAAUCACAAUACGUUAUCACAUAAUUUUAAUUACAAACAUAAAACAAGUUAAUCAAUGCAAUUCUAAACUAGUCAAACAGUCAUGCAGUGACUAACAAUUCUUCUAUCUCUCAAGAAUCUUCAAAUAUUCUGUUACAAACAAUGUCAAUGUAUAAUCAACAAAAUAAUUACAAUUCAUCCAUUCUUCUCUCAACUGCAACUUUCAAAGUAAAAGAUGAUCAGGUCAAUUUAGUACUUUUCGAUAUCGAUUCAGUACAUUCGUCCGAAGACGAAGAUGUAGUACCACCGUUUCCAGAUUACAUUUAUUGCACUGUCUUGCACUGAACUGGCUGAACUGACUCUAUACCUAGUGCUAGAAAGAGCGCUUCAGUGUACAUUUCUUGAACUAGUUCUGACAGUGCAGUUACCAAGAAAAAACCUCUGAAAACAUUAAGGUACGCAAAACCUUUGACUGGUAAAACACACAACCAAUUAUCGUGAAAAAUCUCGAAGAAGUUAUGAGUGUGGUCUCUUUUCUUUAUAUUAUUCUAAGUACGACUAAAAGUUGUGAGUUCUGAGACUGAAAAAUAAUCGUGACAUAAUAACAUAUUAUUGAAUUUGAAUAGAGGCUGAUGUAAAGAGGUUUUCUAAAUUGUCACAUUAUUCAACGUUGUAAAAACAUCGAUAAUUACUUAAUCCUAAUUUUAAAUUUGCGUGUGCUUGUUUAUUUAGCAUAUCAUUAUAUACAGCAUAAAUCAGUUUCUAUUUUGAAAAGACAGUGAAUAAAUCUCGCAAGAUGCUUUGAGGCAUAAUUUACAUAGAAUCGAUGAUAUAAACAUGAGGGAUAGAAUUCUAUUGAAACAAACACCUCCGUCAUCAAGGGAAAUAAAUCGUUCGGGGACCGGAUCUGGCUACUUCACCCUUUAAGGUCAUUUUGUGACAUUAGCUCGGCAAAGAGAAACUAAGAAGAUGUGGGGUUGGCAAGGGUGUGCAUUUAAGACGUCGGUCUUGACUUGACUUGGCCGACAUACACUAGCUUCGAAUGAACGAGCCAUCCUUAGUCUGCAGUAGUCCGAUAAUUAAUCAUACAUUGUAAUUAGUUCCUAUGGGGGCUCAGUGCCAGGCCAGAACGGCGUGACCUCCAGAUACGAGGCCAUUGUAUAGUUCCGACUCUUUCCUUCUCUUGUCUCUUGUCUCCUGUCCGCAGAUACACAAAAUGUCUUUGUAUCGUAUAUUCUCUAACGUGUCAUUCGACGGGGGCAGAGGAGUCAAUAUAUGGAUACUUCGUCGAUAAUUUUCAGCUAAAAUAUGAAGUUAUUCGUUGUUGUUUUGAUCAAAGAGGAACGUGCAUAAACUGAAUAACAAAAAGUUUUAAAAACUAUAGUUUCUAAGAUGGUUGUUCCUCAGCGGCAUUAACGGUAUUCUUUAUUUCUUCAACUUAUCUCGUGUCCCAAUUAUUUCAGUCUUCAUACUUCACUAUAAAUACGAGAUGUUCUGAAAGAUCUUUCUUAUUUACUCAUCAAAUAUCACGCGAAGUAGUGAAAAUGAGAAUUUACACAUAAUGCAAGUUGAGGAAGCAAAUCAGUUACAAUGAAGUUAUUUGUCGGUUGAAAACGUGUUGGUGGGUUUAACAAAAACAAGCUUCCUUCGUUGUCUAUAUCGACCCCAUUAUCACCUUCUUUUGGCUCCAUCUUCGGUUGAUGAGACAUGGGUUGCGAAGGUUCUAACAUGAAUCCUGAAAGAAUACACUCUGUUCUUGCAGAUACUUACUUAACACUAUCAAAACUUGCUGUAGUACUUUAUUCAAAGGCAAGUCGCACUUUUGUCUAUAUGACUUUAUAUGGAUAAGUUGAACUGUCGGUACUGGUUUUCGAGAAAGGCCACUGCAUUACUUCAAAGUGAUAAUACAGGCUGCAAUGAGCACCAGUAUUUAGAGUUCUUGCUCUUUAAAACAGGGAUAUUUUGAAAUUUUUUCAUAUUAGAGCUCGAUAAUUCUGCUGUAUUCAACUUCAUAUUAUAUACCAAAACUGUUACUUUUGCAAUAAUAUUUUAUUAUUAUAUUAUAUAACAUUUUAUUGUUUUAUCGCCGACGAAUACAGCAAUUAGGUACAAAAUAUUGAGCAAAAGAAUUGGCUUUUCAAUUAGUUCUGUCCUUUUAUAAGUGAUGGAUCUGCUAGUUUCGCCUUUGUAGUUUUCUAUGUCUUCAUCAACUUCCCUGAAGUUUCAUAUUUAUCAAUAAACUCAUUCUUUUAUUUUCAUAUUAUUACUGUUCAUUUGAAAAGCAGUGAUAAAAUCAUUAGUUUUUGGAAAGUGUGCAGCUAAACCAAAUUUUGAAAUUAUUGUUGGAAGUAUACGAAGACUCUUCUUCUGCAAUUCGAAAGGUAGAAAAAUUAGCUAGUGCAUUAAAAAGUGGUCAUAAAAUCCAUGAAAAGUGAAUCUAUGAGGGAAAACAAGAUAGGAUAAUGCAAAUCGUAGAUUAACUGUGAGAAAAUAUUGGAAAGUACAUGUAAAAAAUAAACAAAGACAUACUGGUAUUGAUCGCAAAUCAAGAUACAUGUCAAAACUGUCCACUUAACUCGUGGUAUGUUUUACUAUUCAGUUUUUUCAUAGUAGCUUCACAACAACUUGCUCUUCCCUGUUCUCGUUUGGUACAAAGUGGUACAAGUUUUUUUUUUGGUCAUAAUAUAUAUUAGAUAACAAUAUAAGUAUCGUAAUUAUGGUCUCAGAUUCUUCUAUCAUGUAAUAAUUCUAGUUGACCAUAGAACCAAAUUAGGAAUAAACUUGAAAGUUGUUGUUUAUAUUUUCAUUCACCAUUGUAAAUUUCAAAUGACCCAACAUCACAAUAUAACAUGUGAUAUUGUUAUUAGUUUGUAGAUGAACUGGCAUAUUUAUUAGAAUUUUGUGUUCCCUUUUUCUUUUUUCCUGCCAGAGAUCUUCGUCUUCUAUUUCAUAAGAUCCCUAGUGUAAUAUUCUAGAGUUACGUUGGGUCUCAUACAUUCAGAGAAUGUGAAUGAAUUUGUCGUUCAAUACUCAACAAAAUCUGCGCACUGUAUUAUCUGUUAAUUCUAGCGUCUUCAGAUGCCCACUGAGGUGACAGUGCUCCGGAGUCCGGUUGGUAUUGCUAAGGCUGAUGAAUUCAUCAAAUCUUCUCUGGUUAUAAUUUUCUAGGAGAUUAUUUGCAUGUCUUAGCUCCUGUGGGUUGUCCUAAUAAUUGGUUUUACCCCUAUCUACCUUCUUCUCCAAUGCUUUUUCCAUUGUUCUGUAGCUGAUAAUUCGGAAGGAUUUUUUCUCAUGUUUGUUCUCUCAGUGAUAAGCUUAUUAUUCACUUAGGAAUAAACUAUAUUGGGCAUGUGUGAAUCAUGAUUCUUCUUGUGAAGUUAGGGGGCUUUGGGCUUAGUUUAUGCCGGAUGUAAUCUGUUUAUUUCAAUAAUUUAUGCUGUCAGUUUUUUUAGAAAAAGUAUAAGUAUAAUUUCUGACUAUAUUGUUUUUGUAGACAAUUCAAUAUUCUUGAAACUUCUUAUAUCUGGCGAGUGAAAUGUUCGAUAAUAGUAAAUCGCCAUCAACAUCGUAUUAUGAAAUAACUUCUUCUACUACAAGCGUUGUACUACAUCCAUAUUAGUGGAAAUCAUCUUCGAUGUCACUUUCUGGUUUCGAUCCAAGUAUAGAUCGUCUCUUUGAAAUUGAACGUCAUUCCUAACGAUUCCUGUGAUAUUUUCCGUAUUUGUAAGCAAAUAAUGCAUAUAAGAGAUGAUAUUUGUGUAACAUAAAAUAAUUUUCAACAAAAAUCAAUUUAUAUUAGUCACCUAUAAGUGUUUGCUGAUUCACUCAAAAAUUAAUUUGUUUAUGAUUUUUUUAAUAAUUACAUUCAGUUGAGAUACCUCGAAAAUGGUGAUAUUCUCGUAGGUGAAUAUAAAAUUGUUUCUAGUUUCGUAAUAUUUUGUGGUAUCCCGUUUGAUUUGCUAAUGUUCGCAUAUGAUCCGAUGCUGCUAACGCCUUUUGUGUUUCGUCGAAGACCGCAAAGCAAGGCUCUCUGUCUCGUUGCUUUCUUGGGAGGAUACGUACGAGAUUUCAGGGAUAAUGUAAAGUCCUAUAAUGUAUUCCGGAUCUUGGUCACUCAGCUGUACAUGACAUAAUGUAUUCCAAUUAUACGACGAACAAUGUUUAUCACGGCAGAUCCCUCUUUGAUAGUGUUGAAGUUAGGUAGUUACUCUUCUUAGUAGGGACAUUGCAUAUUCACGAUAUCUCUCGAUGAAGGUUUGCUUCUGACAUUUGUCAUUCUAUCGUACGGGAAAUUUUGAUAAUUCAUGUCCAUUUAUAGACUCCAUUAAGUGAUUUAUUACUCUAACUAAAAUAUUUCAGAUGAUUUUAGAAAUAAACUAUGAUAUAAUAUUAGUAUAGUAUAGAGAAUAUUACAUAAAAAAUAAUCAGUAUUCCUUAAGGAUUUCUUAAAACACAAGGUAUAAGAUGAUCUAUUUGAAAUAACAGAGUUUUUUUUUUCCGGAAAAAGGAAAAAUCUGACAAAAAUGUAAAUACCAUCAUAAUACCGGUCGUAUCACAAGACUCUUGCUCACGAAAAUUUAUAAAAAUCGUACAAGUCGUUUAAGAGAUAAUUGAGGCGUUCCAUACAUAGAACUCACUCUGUAUAUUGAGGAUACCGGAUGUUUCAAAUUCACAUAUCACUGAAUUCUAGAAAGAUCAAAGUAAUAGUUGUGGCAAAGCUGUAGAUUAGAGGAAAAUAUUCAAAUUUAUUUCUUGUUUUUAAGAUAUAACUACCUCGAAAUUGGAGCACUCGGUAUAUAGAAAAGAUCAAAAGAAAAUAUAUUCAAGGACGAUCCAUAUUUUUCCAAAUGUUCAUUUGCAGUAGAAAAUACGGUUAAUUUGUGAAUAAAUAUUGUAUAACGCAUUCAAAAUGGAUAUUUCACACUCCGGUGCCCCAAACGAGUUAUAAUGAGCUUCAUUUAAUAAUUGAACCUCCCAAAGAUUUCUCGAGAUUAUUAUCCGAGUUAAUUCAUUAGCAAAGUUUCAGUGACUACAUAAUACUUAAUAAUAUCUUAAUACAGGCGUACACUAUUUAACAUAUAAUUACUGGCAUUACUGCCAAUCAUUAACUGCCAAGUUGAAAGUUAAAAACGCCGACACCUUUGGCCCUUAUAUCAAGGUGGUCUUUAACUGCACUUCAAGCUUGAGCACGAUCAGAUUUUGAAGUCAAAGAAGAAUGUAAACACCUACUUUAUGUAAAAAUUCAGAUGAUUAAAUUCGUAGUUUACCAUGCUGCUUAUUAUUCAAUUGUAUAAUGAUUAGUAUCAAAUUAGUGUAAAAAAUAAAACUUGAAGUAGAUUUUAUAAUAUAAUAAUUAUUAUGAAUAUACGAGAUGUGUUUAGAAAACAGCAGGAAUGAAUAAAUUCCACAGUUUUAAUUGCCGCAGAAACUCGUUAAAAUUUUCAGUGUUUGACUAUUUAUUUGUUCGUGCUAGACGGAUGGUUCGACAUAUUUUUAUGAGCUCGUUGAUUUUUAUUUCUCAACAGAAUUUUGGGUAAAAAUGAAAUACAAUGUUAACAAAGUCCUAUAGCAAAUCGGUCAUAAUUUGUACAAGAGUUUACGAGUUUUACAAAUUUUUUUAGAGGGAGACGAACCAACAUACAGUUACUUGAACAGAUGACAAAACGUCAAAACUAAGCAAAUGAUUCGAUAAAUAUAAUCAAACCUGAAGGUUCCAUUGAAUAUGUUCAGUUUCAAUGGAAUUUUUUUAUCUUGAAAUCUCAGUUGUCAGCUUGCAUGAAAAAAUCCAAGAAAAACGCCCGCAGUUUUAGAAAAAGAAUUAAUGGUUUUCGCAGCUCCUGACAUUUUGUCCAAGAAACAAUACUGUAAUAAUUUUACACAUCUACAUCCUCGUCAGACAUAGUUCUCUAUAUUUUUCGAUCAUAAUAGAAGCUUAACCUAAUGGUUGAAUUUAAGAAGUGGAUCAACGGUUGGAAAAGGUGCUAGCACAAAUUGGGAGUAUUUUAAAGGUAGAAAUAUUGAUAUAUACGAUAUUUUUCUGUGACGGAAAAUGGGAAAAAUUGAUACUUUUUUCGCAGAUAUUGUAUAAACACAUUAGCAAAGGUAGAUAUUCAGUUUUAGAAUAUUUUAUCAUACAAAGAAGUAAAAUUUCCUUAAUAUGACAAAUACAAUUACUAACAGAAGUUAGCUUUUAAGGGUUGAUACAACGAUGUCUUCUAGCAAGCCAUUGGAAUGUAGAGUGCCCCAAGGUUCAGUACUAGGCCUUAUUUUUUUCUUUUGUUUAUAAACGAAAUCACCUAUUUAGACAUCAGUGUUAAAAUGUGUCUAUUUACAGACGAUACCUUAUAUCUUGGUGCGAUUCUAAUCUUCUCUGUCUCGCUAUUUCUAACGUGAUGUGGUUUGACUCAAUUUAAGCGAAUCUUCAAACUACAAAAGAGAACUGUUAGAUAUUUACUCGGACUAAACAGCAAGGCUCACUGCAGGGACUUCUUUAAAAGAUUAAAAAUUCUGACUCUUGGUAAGCACGGAACGCGGAGCACCACCUUUACCUACUUACUCCACGUUCAGAAUUAAUUAAGGGCUCAAUAUUUUAUAAUAAUUUGAGGGCAUAUUCACUAGAAAGUGUCUUCUACUCUGUAAACGACUUCCAUUCUAAUAAUAAUAUUCAACUCCGAUUACAAACAUAUUGCAUACUGGUUUAAUUUUGCUAUGGACCAAUUAUUCAUUGUAGUUUCCUUCUGUUUAUUGAAAUUUCAUUGUAUUUCUAUCUUUAUUUAGUUAAUUCGUUAGUUUUCGCAAUUUUUUUUCUACAAAUUUUGACAAUUUUUUGACAAUAAAGCAUUUAUCUCUGUAAUGACCUGUAUAUAAGUUAGCAUUUUUAAAUUGUAGAAAAUUAGUUACUGUUUUGGUAACUUUAUAAUAAUGGUUUUAACCCACAAUCUGAUUAAUAAAUUUUCCAUUUCGAUAUGUAUAAAACAUGUGGCGAUCCUUAUCUGCUGCUGUACAUCACUGCAAUUCCAAAUACAACAACAAUCUUGACCUUUAAUAUUCAGCGGGAGCAUCUUUGUAAUUAGUUUGAAAUAUUUUCAAAUGUCUACAUUAUAAUUGGAUAGUAACAUACUAUUUAUCAUUAAAUAAUUCGACCACACUGUUCAUGCUUUCUGUUUUUUGCCAAUUUCGAAAAAUAAGACAUUAAUACCAUCUCCGAUAAGAAACUACAUGUGUUUUUCAUAUUUUAUUCAAUGAAUCUUGAAUACGGGGCUUCGUCAACUUUCCGCGAUUUACUGGUAAUAAUCUUUGUAACACUACUUUGGCUACUUCUACUAAUUACAGUGGGAUCAAAAAAAAACUCGGAAUCAAACACUUUUUACUUUAUAGUAUUGAAAAUAACAACCACUAUGUUCACAAUUUUCAAUUUAAAUCAAAAAUUAAACUCUCAGCUUACUUCAAAAGUUUCCUUGGCAUCGCAAGUCUAAUAAUUGUUGCUAUAAGUACAACAUAGUUUUACUAAUUUGAAAAUUGAAAUUUCACAUCUAUAAUUUUUUACUUGAAUUUUAUGAUACUAGCAUAAUCUUGAUGUUUGCUGCCUCCAGGUUGUGUUAAAUGCGGCCUAUUUCUUUUUUUUACCAGCAAAUCAUUUACGGUACUAAAUCCACAUUUUGCUAAACUUGAAGAUGGAAAUGGUAGCAAUAAUUUUCUAGCACAUUCGGUUGAAUUUGGCAUCGUUGAAGUAGUUUCUAGAUUAUCAAAGGGUAUGAAAUAUUGUUGAAUACAAAUAAAUUGUUCCUUAUAAUGUUCCCCUGCCAGUUAGAAAUCUGAAAUAAUAUAUGUUAACCUAGUGUAUCUUGACAUUUUUUGGGCCAUUCCCACCUUAGCCUUUCUGAAAUUCUUAGGCCUCCCCUACAUAGCUUUCACUACUGAUCAAUUUAAUUAUUCACUUGAUAAGCUUAAGUGAUUGAUUUUAGGACGAAAUCACUAGGAAAUUGUUAACGAAACACCCAAACACAUAAUGAAAAACUAAAAUUCAAAUUUCAAAUAAUUUUAGUUAGGUUUUUCCAUAUUAAUUUGUCAUCUUAAUUUAGUGAGAUUAUUCGCUUGGUGUUUGCUGCCUCCACGUUGUGUUAAAUCCGGCCUAUUUAUUUUAUUACCCGUAAAUCAUUACAUCUUCCUCUCUCGUAUAAUGAAUAAUUUUUUCAGAAAACUAUUUUUUCAUUACUUUCCGAAGAUACUUGAUAGUUAUAUUUUUGAUCUUGGAAUAUAAGCAAAAACUUAUUUUGAAGGUAGAAAGUUUGUAAGCUAGUUUUGAAAAUCUGAAUAUAUUUAACCAAGCAAAAGAAAGUUAACCCUGGUGUUCUUGGGAAUAAUUACUAUCUGACUUAUAUUUUGUAAAUUUUCUGAAUCAAGAUCAAGAUCUAGAAAUUUCAAAACUAAUCAGAAUGGAAAAAUGAAUUUACUUACGUUGUAACAUAACACAUAAAAGUAUAAAUAAACAAUCCCUUUAAUAUUAUAUAACGAUUGAUUACAGAGCACGAUUUAAAAUGGAGCUAGUCCACAAAUUGGUGAAUGUAUAAAAAAAGAAGUGCCUGUUACUUGAUCAAUAGCAUCAGAUAAUGAGCUAAGUUAAAUUAACACGUUGUUAAAUAAACGGUAUUACAUCGAAACAUACAUACAGGACAAAAUAAUUUAGGCCUGGUUAAUAUUUCGGAGAUUCCAGAAAUUAUUUAAAUUUAGAACAGGCAGAAACUUAGAAUAUAAGAUCAAGCAUUGGAUACAAAGAAAUGGAAGAACUACAUAAUAUGAUAUGAGGAAGAAAGAAGACAGAAAACAAAUCUAUCAGCAAAGACAAUUUAAAUUUUGUUCACAUUUUCUGCGGAUUUUAAUAAAUAGAUCUCGGUUAAUUGAUACAUUUUUAGACAUCCGUGGAUCUAUCACGUGGAUCGUACGGCUUGGAUGGAUCACUUUUAAAUGCAACAGAACAUCUUUCCUUUGUUCGAAUUACGGUGCGAGAUUCACAAUAGGCAUGAUAUUCUAAAUUUCCAUUUUACAAAAAUUCUGUAAUACGCUCACUUAGAACAAUUCAGAAUAUGAGUUGAUCCAUAAACAUGAAACUUCACACGUGUUGACAAAGAUAUCAUUUUUGGAAGACAAGCGACAUCUUGUCUUGAAAGACAGUACUUAUAUUGGGUACCAGCACAAAAGAAAGAGAUAGGUAGUAAUGACAAAGAUAUUAUGAGAUUGUUUAUUAGAAAAAUUGUUAUUAAAUUAAUAUACUGGAAAUGAAAAUUGUGUUGAAAAUAAAUUUUGCGGUUAGGAAUGAUAGAAUAUGGAGAGAACAGUUAUUGACAACGUGGAAGAUUAAAAUAAAACUGAGGCUCUAGGUAGUUGUUUUUAAUUACUGGAAAUAUGUGUCGUUUUGCAAUAGACAAUCAUAUAAAUUAGAUUUUAUGGUACUAGAUUUCGUUCAUUAGCUUCUUCCACCUUUGUGUGCUAGUACAAGCUGCUAGCCAUUCAAUGUCAUCCAUACUUCCUUCUCUAUGUUAUAAUACUGCUUUCUUCCAGGCUUACCUCUCGUUUUAGCAAAUUUUGGAUAAUAUUGGAUCCAAUAUUCUUAAGUGGUCUAACCAUGGUAGUGGAGCUGUUGCUGCAUUCCCGUUUUCUCUUAAAACUCUUUUUUCUUAUUUUAUUUAAUCGUGAUUAAUUUUAUUUUGUUCAUGUUGGUUUUAUCUUUUUUAUUUUCUAUAAAUUAUCGAACAAUCGCAUUCAUACUGUAAAAUUGGCUGGAUUAUCAUCCUGCACAGAUCAAUUUCUCAUUGCUCAAUUUGCUCUCCCCAUUAUCUUGCUAUUCACAUGGCAUCCUCUGCGUCUAUUGAAGAGAAUGUUGUACGGUCAAAAAAUUUUUGGACAAAAGCUUGUGAAUAACUCCAAAAAAACACACAAAUAAGUGAAUGAUUACAAAAUAGAACAAAAUCAAAUUUUAAGAUGUACAGUUCUGUUCUCUGUAUGUGCACUUAAUGCCUAAUCAGUUAACUGAAAUUCAGAAAGCUGCCAUUAUCUCCAAAUUGGAAGAUGGCUGGUCUAUCAAAAUGGUAACUCAUUUAGGUCUUAUUGCGAAUAACUUGGCGAGAGUGGAGGAGCUGAUAAUUUAUUAUUGGUAAACAUGGUAACAGAUGUCAAGUGAAUUUACACAGCUAAAAAAUUUCAAAAAUUUGUCUUUUCUAUGCUACUUCAAUUAAGAGAAGUGUCCCUAAGUGGAUAGCUGUGUAAUGACCGGAGCAGCGUGCUUAUGGAUUAGGAAAACGGAUUCAAAUAAGAGCCAGUGUCAGAUGCCAGAUGUCCCGGCAUAUUUUUUUUCUCUCGCAAUACCUCACUAUGUAAUUUACUUAAUGUAAUUUGAAAAACUCUGCAAACAUGAGUGAUCAAAAAGCUUCCUCAGUUUACACAUUCCUAACGAAGUUAACGAAGUAAAUUCAUAAAUCAAUUCACGACUUAUGGACGAGACACACUUGUCAUAUACCAAUCCGAUCCGAUUUUGCUCCAAAGAACGGAUCGGUACAUGAUGAGCACACAUGUCCUACACGCUUCCGAGCUCCGAUUUCCAGCUCUAGCUCCAUACAUUCGCAACUCUCGCCAGUCCCCAUUCAAUUAAAAUCGCGAAACAUUCCGUGCACAAAAAUUUAAACAACUGCGAUUUAGACUUGGAGGCACUUUGUUUAGAGGUAGAUGUAGAAAACCGAAGAAAUUUCAUGGAGAACAGAGGAAAACGCAGAUUUGAGUACACUCUACUUGGAAAAGGAGAAUAUUCUACACUUUUACCUCAUCUCUUGGAUGAGGUAAAAACAUUCUAAGAAUAUUUUAGAAUGUCGAUGGCGGCGUUUAACCUGCUGGAACUUAAACUCCAAGAAACUUUGUCUAAGCAAGACACAUAUUUUAAACAAGCAAUCACUUCUAGACACCGUUUGGAGGUUUUUUGAGGUAAGAUACUAAUUUAGUUCCAUUUAUUUCUCAAUUCCAAGAAUUUGAGGUACACUAAUGAAAAAGGGAAAACAAAAAAUGGAACGUUAAUUGCAUUUCAAUCAGAAAACCUUAUUACAAAUUAAUGAAUGAUAGGUCGGCGUCUUAUUCUCCAGUGAUGGCUGGAGCAUUUGGUGUUGGUAUAACAUGGAUUGGAAAAUGUGGAGGUUCAUAUACAUCUGCAUAUGGUUCAUUUUCUUCUGAUGAUAUGAUAGGCGCAGGUGUUGAGGUAGAGGAAGUGCGGGCUGAUGUUGAUAGAUUCGUAUAGAUCAUGGUAGUUCUUUGUUGGUUAUUCGCAUGAAGCUGCUGCAAUCAAAAGGUUAUAUAUAUUCCCAAUUUAGUAACAAAAAACAAACAUUGCAAAAAUUUAAAAACAGACAUGCAACCUGCAGCCGUGAAGCGAAUAGACUGCACGAUCGGAUGCAUGAUGGGAGUCAAGAAGAACUGGGAUCGGACACGUGUCGGAAAGGUGUGAACUACGCUGUUCAAACUCUAGUAUCAUUUCCCUCUCAGACACUCGUCCGACUGUGUGUGUUCCGGCCUUUAUUCGAAAUAGAUAGGAAUAGGUCAACAAGUGUUGAUUGAAAAACAUAAAAAUUCAAACGCUUUUCCAUAUUGUCAAUUGUCGUUAACAUAAUCAAUAACUGGCCUAUAAUUUUGAUAGAUUCUGAAGUGUAUAUAUACCUGUUGUUGAUUUUUUCACUACCUCAAUACUUCAACAAUACUCUGGCGUAGUAACGAAAAAAAAACGCAAAGAGAUAAGAACAUUUACAUUUUUGCCCGUAUAAAUCGCGCGCGCAAAUUGUAGUGUUUGUUCACGACCGUUUACUUCGCCUACUAUUAUCAAACAAUUACUUUUAUCAAUAUUCUAACCUCUUUCGUUCGCUUCAUGACUGCCUUAGAUGCGAAUGGGACACGCUCAAUUUCAUUCCAUGAGUUCACUGAGAUUCUCGAAAGUGCUAUAAUGGGAUCCAUGGGAUUUCUUAUCAACAAUUUCGAAAAGAUUGUUCAAAAAUAAAUUUAUUAUCAUGAUUUCAAUCAGAAUGGAAUGUUAUGAUGAAUUUUUUUUUAUAUAUUCAUACCUACUAUAUAUACUUAUAUUUGAUAUAAUGAUAUAUAUAAUAUUCUGAGAAUAUUGGAAUUCAGUAAAAAUAAAUAGUAACAUAGCCUUGUUAUUAAUAAAAAUUAAUGAACCCAUUGUGCGAAAUUGCUAAAUUAUACAAAGAAAUCCAGAGGCGUCUGGUGUUCAGAGAUUGGCAAUCUGUAAUUUUGAGACAUUAAAUAUCUAAUUUCUGAAAUUAAUUAUUCCAUCCAUCGAUGAACAUGUACUAUAUUUGGAAACCAUCAGUAGAUAUCAUGAAAGUUUAUCUGGAAAUUUGAAUCUUUAGAUUGGAAUUUGGAUGUUUGGAAGCCCUCAGUAGAUAUCAUGGAAGUUUAUCUGGAAAUUUGAAUCUUUAAAUUGGAGUUUGGAUGUUUGGAAACCCCCAGUAGAUAUCAUGAAGGUUUAUCUGGAAAUUUGAAUCUUUAGAUUGGAAUUUGGAUGUUUGGAAACCUCCAGUAGAUAUCAUGGAAGUUUAUCUGGAAAUUUGAAUCUUUAGAUUGGAGUUUGGAUGUUUAGAAACCUCCAGUAGAUAUCAUGAAAGUUUAACUGGAAAUUUGAAUCUUUGGAUUUGAGUGUAAGUCAAGCGCCCUUGUCAUAAUUCUGUGAAAACAAAUUGGAGUUUGGAUGUUUGAAAACCCCCAAUAGAUAUCACGAAAGUUUAUUUGGAAAUUUGAAUCUUUAGAUUUGAGUGUAAGUCAAGAACCUCCCUUGUCAUAUUCUGUAAAAACAAAUUCAUAUGAAAGUCUGUUCGCUCCUAAUACUAUUUGAGAUGACAUCAUAAUGAAAAUGAGUAGAUCUCAGGUCAAAAUAUUGAGAAAUAACGAACAAAACCUGAAAUUGCUGUGAGUACUUCUCGAUCUAACAACUUUGCACCUCUAGGCACUCUCUGAAUUCACAAAUGAUAUUUCUUCAUAUUCCAAAGACCACUUCUCAAUUAUGUCUUAAAAUGAAUGAAAAUGAAUCAACAAAAUGCAUUUUGGGUAAUUUGGGACUUCGUUUAUUGGGAAAAUUGUUAAUGAUAUGAUUCUCUUCAUCAAUAAGCACUCGUAUAUCUUAUUGAAUUUGUAGAGUAGUACUGAUUAUUGAAAGCUUAUAAUAUUAGAUGAUUUGCGGCAGUUUUUCCAAAGCUCUAUUUAGUAACCUGUUCUUUUUAUAUUCUAGUCUUUGGGUCUGAAUUUACCAAGAUAUAACCAUUGAGAUAUUAGAUUUCAUGACUUCAUCCACCUUUUUGGAGGCUUAACCAAAGUUGAGGCUGUCUCUUGCAAAUAUUGCUAGUUUCCUCUAGCCAUCUUGUCUAUAUGUCCAAUUUGGGCCCAUUUUCACUCAAUAAUAGACAAUAAUAUUCUGUUGUGAUCAUAUAAUAUAUAUUUUCUGUCUUAGUGUAAAAAUUUCAAUUUUGAAACUGUUAUUUAUAUAUGUUUUUAGUGAAAAGAUUCAUAUUUUGACAAAAAACAAAACGAAAAAAUGAUUAUAUAAACUCUCAUGGGUUAUUAAAACAUGCUUUAAGUUCUCGCGUAUAUAAUAUGAAUUUUGAAUUUUGACUAUUUUUGACAUUUUCAAAAGUAGAUUUGGAAAAUCGGAUAGAUUUUCACCAAUCUUCACGACUUUGUAAAAUUUCUAACAUAGAAUUGAAUACCCUUAGAAUCAAAAAGUUGGACGGAGAAAUUGAUGAGUGUAUCGAAACAUAAUAAAACUCAAUUUACAAACAUCUAUCGUGAUUCCUCUUUGAAUUGUUUUGUAUUUUGUAUCCGUAAUAUGAAAUGUUAUUGUAUAAAUAUAUUGUGUCAUGGCAGCGCUUAUGACAGCAGGUUUUUAAAAACUAAAUUCCAUCUAGGCAAAUGCAACAAGGUUUAUCACUCCUUCCAAAUCAUAUUAGGAGACUCGAAUUCAUUACUUUGCUUCUCCAAUUUCAGAAAGGUCGUUGCACGAUUAUCCACUUGGGAGUACGAUAUUCAACUACCCACUCCACGUUCAGAAUUAGUUAAGUGCUCAAUAUUUUACAAUGCAAAAAAAUGCACAAUCAAUUGCCAAUUGAAAUCAUAUCGAUUCCGCAAUAUUUGCAGACGAUACUAGUUUCUCUUGGAGCAACCCUGAUCUCAAGCACUUCAUAGAACCAUAUCUAAUGACCUAAUACCCUAAAUUAUGAUGCGAUUCUAAUCUUCUCUGUCACAAUCUGUAAAAUUAUUAGGGCUUGUUGUGGACAAUUCCUGAAAAUUGAUAAUUUACAUAUUCUGGCCUUAUCAAAAAAAUAAAGUUCCGCCUGUUUUGCGGUGAGAUUAGUUUCCAAAGAACUGAACUUAUCCACCUCCUUAACAGUUUAUUAUGCCCUUAUUGAGUCGCGUCCCCGAUAUGCCCUUGUGUUCUAGGGUACGUGUGGUGCGACUCAAUUUGAGCGAAUCUUCAAACUACAAAAAAGAGCUUACUCGGACUAAACAGCAGGGCUCACUGCAGUGACUUCUUCAAUGAAUUAAAAUAACGUGUAGCACGACCUUUACCUACCCACUCCACGUUCAGAAUUAGUUGAGGGCUCAAUAUUUUUCAAUGCAAAAAAAUGCACAAUCACUUGCCAAUUAAAAAUAAUCGAUAUCAUCUUUUAUCGCAUUCUGCAAUAAUUUGUAAACGACUUCUAUUCUAAUAAUAAUUUUCCGAACAUGUUGCAAACUGAUUUAAUUUUUGCUAUGGAAUUACCUAUAAUUUUGUUACUCACUUGGUUUUCGUCUGUAUAUUGAAAAUUUUUAUUAUAAAGUAUCUUUAUUUAUUUAGGUCAGGUUAGGUUAGGUUUGUAUCCCUAUUUGUUUCUUGGUUUUUACAAGCUUUUGUCUACAAAUUGUAACAAGUUUUUGACAAUAAAGUAUUUCUCUCUCUCUACUUCACCUUGUCGUAAUUUUGAUAAGAUUACAGAGCAAUAAAUUCCGACUCAAUCCAAAUUUUCUCACCUUAUGCUCUUAGAAGUGUAUAACUUUACUCAAUGCUGCUCUGUCAUAAAAAGUUUUUCCCGAAAACAAAAACUACUCAUAGAAUUUGUGAAAAAUCCAGAGGUACAUAGCAAUACUGUAGAAAUUGAAGAAUUAUUUGCUCCAGCAGCACUCUCAAAGAUUCAUGAGCUCAUUUUAUUAGAUGAAACGUGAGAACACAGUGAAUUAGCAAAUAUAAUAUAAAAUUCGUUGUUCGAGUGUUGCUUUAUUAAAUCAUUUAUUUCUUGAGCCUUCUUUGCAUAGAUCUAUAUGUAAAACCCUCAUCAUUUUGGUAUGAGUAGUCAAUAGCAACAACUUGACUUUCUUCAUGAAAGUAUUGAUAAUAAGGAUAAUAAGGAAUAAGAAACUAAUAGCAUUCAUAUAAUAAAAAAACUCCGGGUUCGCAGUAUUUAAUGCAAAAGUAAAGUUAGUUAUUUUUUAGUUUUAUGAUUAUCAAAAUCUAAAACUACAAUGUUGAUCUCAGAUGAUUUAGUUUCUCCAUUAUUCGUUAAUAAUUUGAUUGAGAAAACAACGAUUUAUAUAAAAUUUUUAAAAAAUUGUUCAUUAGUAUAAUUAUUUUGGAUAAUUACACACAGAAACAGUCUAAGCUAUAUAGUAAAAUCAAUCAGAGAUAGCAAGAGUAUAGCUAGAUACUUCUUUUCUUUUACUAGAUAACGUUUUGCCCAAUUCCUCACCUCAGAAAUUUUUUAAUUAUGCUCUAGCUCAAAAUAUAUUUAAAACUAGUAAUAACGAUGUGAUGAGCCUGUGUUUUUACUUAUCAUUGGUUAGGUUAGGUUAGGUUGGUUGGUAUUAGCUAAGAAGUGUCUGAAACUUUUAAAUAUAAGAGUAAAAGGUCCAAUUCCAUUAUCAGCUUUAACAAGAAGCCGGAAAAUCAUCAUGAAUGAUUGGCUUGUAUUUAACUUUUAGAUCUUUGAACGAAAUGAAUCUGAUCUUGAAAGUUAUAAGUUCAAAAUUGUUGAAACCUCUCUAUUUAAUCUAGAAGAGUUUUAGUAUUUUGCUACGCAAAAUUUGUCCUCUGCUGCGUCCUUUUUUGUAAUUAGACUGAUCAUUGGAAGUAUUUCUCCAGCUACUGAAGAAGUUUUCUUCGUAAAAUACUACGUUUCAUAACUGGAAAAUCUUCUAUAAUAGAACUAUCUUUUACUACACACAUCUCCAAAUGUCUUGGUCUCCCUUGUGAAAUUUCAAGUUUGCCUAUGUAUAGAGCCUAUUUUUUAUUCACGAAAUGAAUCUGCUCUCUAAAUCUAGAAGUUCAAAAUUGGUCAAAUCUGUCUAUCUAAUCUAGAAGAGUAAUAGUUUUUUGCUACGCAAAAUUUGUCCUCUACUGGGUCCUUUUUUGUAAUUAGACUGAUCAUUGAAAGUAUUUCUCCAGCUACUGAAGAAGUAUCCUUCGCAAAAUACUACGUUUUAUAACUGGAAAAUCUUCUAUAAUGAAACUACACACAUCUCCAGAAAUCUUGGCCUCCCUUUUGAACUUUUUAGUUUGCCUAUGUAUAGAGCCCGUUUUUUGAUUUUAAAUUUGUGGCACUGUGGCAUUGGGCAAAAAACCAGUCACGGUUUUGUGAAAGCUACAUCAGAAAGGGUAGACCGUUACAUACCCAAUUUCAUUCGAAGAAACCGAUUUAUAACGGUAACGGUCGAUCAAAUUCACUAUUUGCUAACAAGUUUAGAUUCAUCGAAUCUAAGGCCAAGAAGACCUUCAAGGAUGCCUAGAAUUUCACGACGACACAUAGCAGCCCGUCUCCAAUGGGCUCAAGAGCACAAGUAAUGGGUUUUAUAACAAAGGCGUAACGUUUUUUUUUCCCGACGACUCCCGAUUUGGUUUCCACAGUGAUAGUCGGCGGGAAAGGAUCUGGAGAGGUCCAGGUCGAUAGGAACGACUUAAUUUUAGCAGAGAUGUUCAUGGCAGAUACGUGAUGUUUUGGGGGGGUACAAUGUAUGGUCGUCAUACACCACGCCACAAACAUUAUAAUACCGAUAGUUCAACGCAAUGAAUAUGGAGUAAAUUUCAUUUUUCAAGAUGAUAAUACAAGACCACAACGCACGGAAAUAGUACAUAAGGAAGGAGAUAAUCAAAUAAUGAAUUGGUCAGUACCAGACAUGAAUCUAAUGAACAUUUGUGGGAUUAUAUUGGCAAACCAAUAUCCAAUCGAUAAAACCCUUUUUGACCGCUGCCGUUCAAGAAGACAAUAUGGCUGACCAUGUUAUCGAUAACUUGAUUCGCGGGAUGCCGAAACAUAUUGGUCAAUUAAUUGCAACAAGAGGCAGUGAAGAACUAUUAAUUUGUUUUUUUAUUACAUUAUAUCUUUUUUAUUAAUAUACAAAUUUUUACACUUCAAUAUUUUGCACAUUUUCCGUUACUUGGUUUACUCUAUAUUCUUGGUUAAGUAAAUUUAGAUUUUUUCCUUCACAAAUAUUGUUAUCACACAAAAUAUUGAAUACAUUUCAUAAAUUUGAAUAUAUUUUUUUAAUCAAUAACAAGGGGGGCCAAGACUAUUGAAGAUGUGAGUAUUAUCUCGAUCGCCAAAUGAUCAUUUUCGUCAAAUACUAAAAACUAUCACUUAUACUUGCAAAGGUCUCAUUCAAAGGCACUAGUCCCAAAUCUAAUGUUCUCUUCACUUACUUAUUAAUUAAUGAAAUUGAUUUCUAGAAUUAUAUUCAACUACAAUCAGUAGUCGGUGAAACACUCGUGCAUUUUCAGUUUAUACUACAAGUAAAUUUACUUUUAAAAUUGAACUUAAAAUGCAAUAAACAGCAUGUCUUUCAUGCUUAAACCUUUUUAUCGUACUAUGAAUCAUUCAAGAGUGAAAAGGUCAUUUUUGGAUAUAAAAAAAUAUUGUGGAAAAGCUAACCCCUCUAUAUCCACUAACCUAGCCUCCCUUGGAUUUUCCAAGGCCGUUGUGGAAAUGAAACCAAUGCAGAUUGUGUUAAUUUCAGUUGGCGUAUGUGUUGGACUGAAAGGGUGUCUGUGCGGGGAUAAAUUAGAGUUAGGGCAAUCGAUGUAUGCUGGUAUUAAAGACGACAUACUAAGAUUAAUGGUAGUGGUAAACUAUCCUUAAAUUUAUCUGGAGCGGACCGAACAUCUGAAACUUGAAAUUAUUCUAUCUAUAAAUAGAUAUCUUACACGACCGGUUUAAUAUGGUGAUUGCAUAAGACUUAUCAUCAAACUAAAAUAUUCUCCCUUUUUACGUGAACCAUUAAUAUACACUCACAAUCAUAGAGUAGAUUUAUUUGGAGCUAGUGGAUAAGAGACUAAUUAAAUGCAAUGAUGUGUAUAUAACUGAACACUUAAUUUAUUCACAAAACACUAAUUGCCUAUUUCUGUUUGCCUAUAUGACUAUAGAAAAUGGACUGACUGGGAUGCUCAAAAUCAACAACUAUUCGAAAUAUUACGAGUUUUAAAAAACAGAAGUGAAGCAAAUAUUGUUUAAGCCUUGAUGAUCAAUUUUUUCACCACUACUAUAUCAUACCACUCAAAGAAUCUAAUGGAAUCGAAUGGUAAACAGAUUUCUUAAAACACAAAGUGAGCUGGUGGUGAGUAUUCUACCUCCUGUACCUGCUUCUUCAGAUAGACUUGUAGCCAAGAAAAUAGACCUAGGAGUAAACUGUCAAAAAUGUGAUGUAGCAAUCCGUUUUCAUAAUCACCUUGCAGUCGAAGCAUCGAGUUCUCCAGUUGUCAGAUCAAAGCUUAUUCGAAACAGUAAGAAGCUCAAAACAAGCAAAAAGAAUUGAUUUUUGGUUUGAAUGUGCCGUCGUUAGGAAGAUAAUUACUCUGGUGGAUGCUUCCAGGACUAUUCAAGAAAUUAGGAAUAUUGUUCAACGUGCAAUAUUUAAUUCACAUUAUGUUUACGAAAAAUUAAGCGAACAUAAUAUGACAUUAUUGACCAACUCAAAUUUUGUAAUUGACUAUUUCGUGGAGGCGCGUUCAGAAGAAAUCGAAAGAUUGGAUGCAAGUAACCCACUUCCCAGACGACCGACGUCGAAAUCAACAAAUUUGAAAUCGUGAUGAACCUGUUAUUCAUACUCUUUCCACCUACUCGUUGUCGUCAGCGUUCACAACGAAGAUGUGUUAUGUGUUCGUUAAAUAACAUCAGAUGCGAUAUUAGAUACUUUUGCAAUAUAUUUUGCAACAUGCCUGACUGCUCAAUUUUGUUUACCUCUGGGGUAAUCCUAUCUUUUAAUUCCUGAAUAUUGGCAGGUUUUAUUCUAUAAACGAUGUUUUUCAAAUGACCCCCCAGGAAAUAGUCUAAAGGAUUCAUAUCGAGUGAUCGAAGGAGCCAUUCGAUAAAAUCACGCUUCCUUCUUUUGGGAAACGCAUCCAACGAGGAUGGUUACGUGACCGGCAUCUACAAUUAUGCUGAUUUACGUUUCUAUUAGUUUUGAUUGUAACAUUUUUCCACCAUUAGGUCUGCAAACUCUUUAAGUCUAUCAAAAUCGUCAUCUGACUACUCUUGAACCAACAUUAUUUUGUGUGGAUGGAAUUUAUUAUCACGUAAAAUUUUCAUUACGGAUGUUUACGAAAUAUCAAGUUCCCUGGAUAUUCGUUUAGUCUGGAUCAUCUUCUAAGUACACACCUAAAGAUUUGUUUUUAGUUGAUGCAGUCUUUCUGCGCCCUGAUUUGAAUGAUUCUUUCACUGAAACAGUUUCGUUAAAGUUUUUCACUAAUUUAUUGAACAUAGAUCUUGUUAUGGGAUUUCGGUUAGGAUAUAAAUUAUCAAAGAUAUUACACGUUUCUUGUUGACUUCUACGCCCAUCACCAUAUCCUAAUAACAUUAAAAUAUCAUUCCGUUGUGACUUUUAAUAAACUUCAACAAUAAUAACUUAUUGAAACGUCAAAUUUGUUAUUGUAGCUGUCAUAACCACCUAAUUAUAUUAUUUUAACUUCUGCGAAGAUAACGCAAAUUUAGGCAUAGGGAACAUGAGUUGAAAAAUAAUAAGUAUUUCUUAAGGAUUUCGAGAAGCGAAAAAUAUACAGGGUGAUCCAUUCGAAAUAACAAAGUUUAUUAUUUUACCGGAAAAA